rnacentral:lncRNA from 1 species
UCAGCUUCCUUCGAUUAUUCCAACAAUAUCCAUUUCCCAUAUUAAUUCUUCUACUUCUCUUGCUGUGCUUCAUCUCCCCUCGAAUGGUCUCACUUCUUCAAUAUACCCAUGGUUGUUCAACUUCAGUAGCAGCCUUGUUCAUCUUGACCUCUCUUGGAAUGAUCUAAAUGGUUCAACUCCGGAUGCUUUUGGAAACAUGACUACUCUGGCAUAUCUUGAUCUCUCUUCGAACGAGCUACGUGGUUCAAUUCCGGAUGCUUUUGGAAACAUGACUACUCUGGCAUAUCUUGAUCUCUCUUGGAACAAGCUACGUGGUUCAAUUCCGGAUGCUUUUGGAAACAUGACUAGUCUGGCAUAUCUUGAUCUCUCUUUGAAUGAACUUGAAGGUGAGAUUCCAAAAUCCUUGACAGAUUUAUGUAAUUUACAGGAAUUAUGGUUGUCUCAGAACAAUCUCACUGGACUGAAGGAAAAAGAUUAUCUGGCCUGCCCUAAUAACACAUUAGAGGUUUUAGAUUUAUCUUAUAAUCAAUUGAAAGGGUCAUUUCCCAAUCUUUCUGGAUUUUCACAGUUGAGAGAAUUAUUUCUUGAUUUCAAUCAACUAAAGGGAACUUUACAUGAAAGUAUUGGACAACUAGCUCAACUUCAACUGUUGUCCAUUCCUUCAAAUUCAUUGCGAGGCACUGUCUCCGCAAACCACCUUUUUGGUCUCUCCAACCUGUCUUACUUAGACUUAUCUUUCAACUCCCUUACAUUCAACAUAAGCCUUGAGCAAGUUCCCCAGUUUCGAGCCUCAAGUAUACUAUUGGCCUCUUGCAAAUUAGGCCCACGUUUUCCUAAUUGGCUUCAAACUCAAGAAGUUUUGAGCGAACUUGAUAUCUCUGCUUCUGGAAUUUCAGAUGUCAUUCCCAAUUGGUUUUGGAAUUUAACUUCAGAUUUAAAUUGGUUAAACAUUUCCAACAAUCACAUCUCGGGCACUUUGCCCAAUUUACAAGCAAGGUCUUAUUUGGGAAUGGAUAUGAGUUCAAAUUGCUUGGAAGGUUCAAUACCACAAUCUGUUUUCAAUGCUAGAUGGUUGGAUCUCUCCAAGAACUUGUUUUCAGGCUCAAUUUCUUUAUCGUGUGGGACUCCUAAUCAGCCUAGUUGGGGUUUGUCUCAUCUUGACCUCUCAAAUAAUCGACUAUCAGGAGAACUACCCAAUUGUUGGGAGCAGUGGAAAGAUUUAAUUGUUCUUGAUUUGGCAAAUAAUAAUUUUUCUGGGAAAAUUAAAAAUUCGAUUGGCUUGUUACAUCAGAUGCAAACAUUGCAUUUAUGUAACAAUAGUUUUACUGGAGCACUGCCUUCGUCCUUAAAGAACUGCAGAGCUUUGCGUCUUAUAGAUUUGGGAAAAAAUAAAUUGUCAGGAAAAAUAACCGCAUGGAUGGGAGGAAGCCUGUCAGAUUUGAUCGUUCUCAACCUAAGAUCUAAUGAAUUUAAUGGAAGCAUACCUUCAAGUCUUUGUCAACUGAAACAGAUUCAAAUGUUGGACCUCUCUAGCAACAAUCUAUCAGGAAAGAUACCAAAAUGUCUCAAAAAUUUAACUGCCAUGGCUCAAAAAGGAAGUCCGGUCCUUUCUUACGAAACAAUUUACAAUUUGAGUAUCCCAUAUCACUAUGUUGAUAGUACAUUGGUUCAAUGGAAAGGAAAAGAACAAGAGUACAAGAAAACUCUUAGAUUCAUUAAGAGCAUUGAUUUUUCAAGAAACCAAUUAAUUGGUGAAAUUCCAAUAGAAGUAACUGAUUUGGUAGAAUUGGUGUCUUUGAAUUUAUCAAGAAACAAUUUGAUUGGAUCAAUCCCUACAACAAUUGGUCAAUUGAAAUUAUUGGAUGUUCUUGAUCUAUCUCAAAACCAACUUAAUGGUAGAAUUCCGGAUACUCUUUCUCAAAUAGCCGAUCUAAGUGUUUUAGACCUAUCAAAUAACACCUUGUCAGGUAAAAUUCCAUUAGGCACUCAAUUACAAAGCUUUGAUGCCUCCACAUAUGAGGGAAAUCCUGGACUUUGUGGACCACCUCUUUUGAUAAGGUGUCCUGAAGAUGAACUUGGGGGAGUCUCCUUCACUAGUGGUCUUAGUAGUAAAAAAGAGGACAUUCAAGAUGAUGCAAAUAAUAUAUGGUUUUAUGGAAAUAUUGUUCUUGGAUUCAUCAUCGGAUUUUGGGGAGUUUGCGGCACUUUACUAUUCAAUAGUUCAUGGAGAUAUGCCUAUUUCCAAUUGUUGAGCAAGAUAAAGGAUUGGUUGUACAUGACAACAAUAGUAAAUAUGAAUAGAAUACGAAGGAGCCUGCAAGGUUAAAUGGUAAGACUUCUCAAAUUCUCUUUUUAGUUUUUCUGGUAAAAUGUGUUAACUUCUAUUUAUUAUCCAACAGUUAAGAAUAAAAAGUACACUUUAUGCUACUACUCAAAUCCCUCUUCUAUUAUUUGAUUGACCUUCCACAAUAUAUUGAUGAAAGCUUAGAUUUUGCAAAUAGAAGCAUCGAUAAAAUAAGCAAGCGUAGAAGAUUUUAAUAUACUUUUUUGUAAUAGUUGUGCAUAUUUAGCUUUCAUCAUGUAAAGAUUAAUCUUAUAGGCCGAGGAUCAUAGUUGAAGAAUGAUUAUUUGUAUUUUUAUUUCUAUCUUACUUCAAGUUACAAUUUUUUCUUUUAAAUGUUAAGUUAAUUUGUUGUCUUCAAAUAUUAUAAGUACAUUAAAAGUUCAAUUGUAAGUAACAUACUAAAACCUUCAUUUCUACUAAUCAAGAAGAGUCGCAACUAAGAAAUUAUUCCAAAUUGAUGAGCGUUGUUGCAUUUCAUCUUUGUAUUACAGGACUUCAGCUGGGUUGCAUCUCAAGGAUUAGUAGGUGAUAUAUGCUUUUGAGUAACGGGAGUAUUUAUGAUGGGAUAGUUACAUGCCUUAAUGCAAAAGCUUGUCAUCGGAUAAAUGACAUCAACAUGUAUUAAGUUUGCUUAUUUGGUAGUUAGCUUGGCUUUAAGUUUCUCGUGUUAUAUUCUAUUUAGAACUUUUUAAACAUUAAUUUUUGCUAUUAUAUGUACGACUUUGUAUUUUGUUGCUCUAAAAUUUAUUUGUUAUUUUUGUAGAAUCAAAUAUUAGAGGCCUUUGUAGGGGGUGCUAAAAAAAUACUUCAUCUUAGAAAAAUAUUUUUUUUUUUGCUCAAAAACAAAGUUUAUUUUUUGGGAAAUGCAAUGUGAUAAUACCCAUUAGUAUGAAAUGUGGGAUAUGCUACUACUGAAAACAGAGCACUCUGUUUUUUUGGUGCUCAAGCAUGAAAGCUCCUGUAACACAGAGAGGUCUGAUUUCCAACCGUGAAUCAAAUUGCUUAAGGUACUCCAUAUGCAGAUUGCUGGAAGUCACUUUGGGCAUCAAUCAUCUUCAAGGGACGAUGAUGAUGGGAAUUGGAUCAACGGCGGUAAAGACCAACUAUGGAAAGUUUGCUAAAAAGCUCCCAUUUCUUUAUUUUGGUUUCUGCUUUUGUAAAUAACAAUGUUAUCCAAAAUUUGUGUUGGUUGCUCAAGUUUUGUAAAAGCUAUUCAACCAAUACAAAUCGCUACAUAAUAUGCAUUUUGCCGAAGAUCUGUGAUGAUUUGGAGCUCUCUCCAAUGCCAUACCAGGUUACAACUGAAACAAGCAUCUUAUUUAGGAAUAGUUAACAACAACGAAGAACUGCAAUUUAUAUUUGUGUUUUUUGUUCCACUGAAUAUUGCAGUAAUCAACUUAUGGAAGAAGUUGGAGCUGUUGGAGAAGAAAGUGCUCUUCAUGUUUGCUCAAACAAUUCAGAGGGAAGUUUAGCUUUUGCUUUGGUAGUUGUGAAGUUGCAAACUGUUAUUAGAAUAAGAAGCCUCUACUUUUGCUUGUUACUGAAUAUGAAUUUUUUUUUUAAGAAGUAAAUUUGCUAAUUAUUGUUCUUUUUCUUAGGCACCCAAGAAAAGAGUAUGUACUUUUAGCAAAGACCAAGAGGAAACUAUUAGAGCUUCAUUUGAGCAGUGAGUGCUUAAUUUGUUCUUUUUUGUGGCAUAUGCAUGUAGUCUUAAAUUUGAUUUCCCUCUGCAUAAUUGAUGCUGAAUAUUGUGAUUUUGGAAAGAUUAAUGCUAGUCUCCUUUUCGUCUUUUAAAUUAAAUUAGAUUUGUUUACGUAUAGGUUUAAAGACCAUAAAAGGUGCACCUACAUGAUUGUAAGUGCUCUAGAUGGUGAUGGUACGUUCACAGCUGCCCAAGUUUCCCAUAAGCUCAAGCAACAAUUUGCUUGUGUUCCUCAUCAAAAAAAGAGUUGAAGACAACUUGCAUUUGAGAGAUGAAGAUCUUAAUGGUUGUGAUAUAGCCAAAGCACAGGAUUCCAAUGAUGAAACAUUGUUUUCACUAAGAAAAAGGUAACUAUAUCUUUAUGAAUUUCAUGCAAUUUUGUGAAUUAAUCUUAUUUGUGUGAUAUCCCACAUCGAAUGAGGGGAAAACUAUUAUAUAUACAUAUAUAGGUUCUCUUAGACACGUUUUAAAACUCAUGAGGGCCCCUUAAGCCCAUAAUAGAUAAUAACUACAUAGUUAGCAGUGGAUCGUUAUAGCUUGUAUGCAAACUUUAUCACAUACUUGCAUCUUUGUGGUUGCAGACUUGUAGUGUAUUUGCAUUUGCUUGCAUUUGUCAAGUACUAUACUUUGGUGAUGAAAUCAUAAAUUCAUGACACUCAAGACUUAAUCCAAUUGACAUGUUUUUUUUUUUACUAAAUACAAUAACUAAUUCUUAAGUUAUAAAUUAUAUCACCAAAUUAUUUUUUUACAAUAUAUAGUUUAUUUCAAAUUUUAUUUUAUUUUUCUUCACCUCUUAGGUUUAUCACUUUACAUUACAAAAUAAAAUAAAUUGCAAUUUCCCUUUUCACAAGAUUUUUAUUUUUACAAAAUAUUCAAUAUUUUCCAACUUUUAUAAAAUAAUUUCCGAAAUUAUAUAAUCGGCUGUUAUAAAGAUUUUAAAUUUUUGUGUUGUCAUGGGAUUAUUUUGUUGGCAUGCUUGACCCAGUUGGUAACUUAGGUUUUUUUUUUUUUUUUAAUUCGCCUGACCUUCACAUGUGGCCUAUUACCAUUGGUGGAAAAUUGUGGGUAAGGUGAGAUUUCGGUACCCAAGCUUGACCAUAUAUAUCUGUGAAUUACGCAGAAGACUCGAAAAGUCAAAGGAAAAAUCCUGGGAACCAAGCUGGAAAACACAGGACUGUUAUUUCAGGGAAGGUGUACGUUUGGGGGCAUAUUACAGCUUGGGUACUGAACAAGAGGCAUGUAAGAAGUCUGGCCAUGGAUGCAGAAGAAGAAAAGCAAAGUAAAACCCACAUCCAUGGACAGUUGGUAGAGAUAAACCACAAUCAGGAGAAACGAAUACGCCACGAAGAAACAAAGGCACAGAAUCUGACAACUGGGUUUGCGGUCGUCCAAGUUUUAAUUCUCAACACACUGGUGAUCAACAAGCCAUCCGGCAGAUGCGAACACUGGUGGGUGCCAUUCUCUCUCUCCUUAUCAGUCGGUGUGAUUUAUUUCGUCACCAUUUUUGAGGUAGUGAAGAAAUGCUACCUUCUGCUCUACCAUUUGGACGUCAACUACAUGGAGCAAGAAGCCAUUCUUCUGGAAAUGCAUGGGGGUGCUUCGUCCCGGCGACAUGAUCAGCCAUUGAAGCCAGAUGUGGUGAAGCUCCUGAGGCGUAAAGCUUAUAUCACGAUACUGAUUUCUGCCAUGCUCGCCUUUCAAGCUCUGAUGCUCCACGCCUGCAGCUCCUUUCUUUGCAACUGAGAUUAACCAUUAGCUAUGUUCACAUGUGAUUAAUGCUCUUGCCGUUUUAAAUACAUAAGAAUAAUGUUGUUUCAAAAAUCGUUUGCUUAUAUUUAAAUACUAUUUUCUCUUUUCCAACUGUCCUUACAAAUAGUCUUAUGCUUAGUAGUAGAAAAAAAAAAAAUAUUAAGAUGAAAAUUAUGUAAUUCAAAUUGAAUGCAUCAAUGGAACCGAAAUUAUUCAUCGUGAAAUUUAUUUACAUCGUUUUUCUUUCCAAAGUAUUUUCUAGUUGGAAAGAAAAUUCCAACAUUGCAAUUUUCGUUAGAAAAACGGGACAAAUUAUAAAAGAAAAGAAAAAUCAAUCUCAAAUACCAAUAUUAAAAUGAUUUAUCUAUUUAUCAACACAAUUUGAGUGGAAGAAAUAAAGACACGUGGAAAUCUAUAUAUCAGGAAUCAAAUAGGGUCAAGAAUGGGUUCCAACAAGAACCAUCAAUGGGCUGCCCAAUCAAUAACAAAAGGCCCUCGAUGGGUCUCAUGGGCCAAACAAAAUGGAGCCAGCACACAAUAAGUUUAAACCCAAAUAAAAAUUUCAAGUACAUAUUUUCAAUCCCAUUUAUAAUUUAUUCAUUUAAAUUAGAAAUCUAUAUAUCAAGAAUCAAAUUAGAGAGACCAAAAUUAACAUAUCAGAGUAGAAAUCUUUACAAUCAAAUUUCUUUUUUAUAAAUUUAAAAAUAUUUUCUAUAACUAAUUUAGAUUAGCAAAAAAGAAAAAAAAAAUCUUCAUCGGACCACACAUGUGAUACACUUUGGUAGUUGUUUUUAAAUUUCAAUAAACAUUCUUACAUCAAAAGUAUAAAAAAAACUAAAAAAAAAAAGGAAAUGUUUAGGAAAGUUUGAUUUUAUUGUAGAAAUUAAACAAAAAAAAGUUAAAUAUAAUUAAAAUUAGUAAAAAAAACUUAAAUAUUUUUAGAUUAUUUUAAGUUUGAUGUAAAGUAUAAAAAUAAUUUUUUAAUUUUAAAUCAAUUUUUUUUCUUUGCUUCUAUUUUUUUCUUUAUUUUUUUUUCUUUUCCUCACAUUUUUUCUUUCACUCCUGAGGAACCAAACAUAACCUAAAAGUUUUAAAUAUAUAAAAAAAAACUUCAUAUUAUAUAUAUAAGGGUUGUUAUUAUAUUGAUUUAUAUAAGUACAAUAUGAUUUUUUUUUUUUUUAUAACCGUGGAUGUUCGGGCCAGCUUACGCGCACCUCGACUAAUCCCACGGGGCCCUGAAGUUAACGACCGGGUAAACCUCCAGUGGCCCUGAGGGGACUCGAACUGGUGACCAUAAGGGAGCAAACCCAAGGCCGGACCAACUGAGUUACCCCUCAGGGUUAUAAGUACAAUAUGAUUAUUCAAAUCAUAUUACAUGUAUAGAAUACGAGAAAUCAAGUUGUGUCAUACUCAAAAUUUCAACAUGAUAGAUAUAGCUUUUGAAGACUUUUCCUUUGCGAUUAAUUCUUAUACUUGGAAUUUGUUUAGGUAGGGUAGGGUUUUUGGAAGUUUGUUCGCAAUUUUCUCAUACUUGGAAACAAUUUCCAAAGGAAUGGUCAGAGAAAGGAACUAAACAAAUAGAAGAUUGAAACGGACUAGAUAGACCCUCACCUGCACCGAAGGUUUGUAUGAUCUUCGUGGACCGCAGGCCGCAUGGCCUUCUCAAGCCUCCAUGCCUUGCUUUUCCGCUUAUAAAGAACAGCCAAAAAGGACUUGACUGAUCUGAAAAAUCAGUGGCCGGAAAAGCGAGCUCGACACGGAGAAACAAUUGCCCAUGCAGUUUGGGAGAUCACAGAGCGAACUGUUGGAGUCUGGGCUUUUGUUUCUUCGUGUCGAUCUCGCUUCCCUUUAUGGCAGAGCUUUUCUCACCCUUCAGACACUCUCCUCCCAAACCAACCUCUCACAGCUUCAAUGCAGCUCACAUCCUCCUCACCGGCGCAUGGUGGUUACUACACUAUCCAGAUGCUGCAGCAGCCCACUUCCCUCAGCCUUGGACUCAUCUACAACUUGCCCGACUCUUACAUCACCUCGUUGCAGUCUUACACCAACUACUCCUACUGGUCUGGACCCGAUAUAUCAAACGUAACAGGCGAUGUAGUCGCGGUUUUAGACAGGGCGGGGAGCUUUGGGAUCAUGUAUGGGUCAUCAUCUGAUGGGGCGGUUUAUGUUUACAAAAGUGAUACUGAUGAGAAAGGGCUGUCUUCGUCGUGUGAAUCAGAUAGUUAGGCCAUUAGUUCUUCGAAGACUGAUACUCGAGAUGAAUGGGAAUUUGAGGCUGUAUCGUUGGGACGAUGAUGUGAACUGCACUCGCCAAUGGGUGCCUGAAUGGGCUGCAGUUUCUAACCCAUGUGAUAUUGCUGGGGUUUGCGGAAAUGGGGUGUGUAGCUUGGACAGAAGCAAGACUAAUGCCUCCUGUACAUGCCUGCCGGGGGCUUCUAAGGUGGGAGACAGCGGCCAGUGCUCAGAGAAUUCGUCGGUGUCAGCUGGGAAAUGUGAUAAUAAUCAUCGGAAUUCAACUGCUUCCAAGCUGAAGAUGUCUAUAGUACAGCAAACUAACUACUAUUACCCUGAAUCUUCGAUUAUAGCAAAUUAUAGUAACAUGUCCCAAUUGUCAAAGUGUGGGGAUGCUUGUUUAUCAGACUGUGAUUGUGUUGCUUCCGUGUAUGGGCCGAGUGAGGAAAAGCCUUACUGUUGGCUGCUGAACAGCUUGGAGUUCGGUGGAUUCGAGGACACGAGUUCGACGUUGUUUGUGAAGGUUGGGCCUAAUGGGUCACCUGAAGACAAAGCAACAGGAUCUGGGGAUUCAUCUGAUGGCCUCCGGGACAAGGUCUUGGUUCUUCCAAUUGUUCUCAGCAUGACUGUCCUUGUAGCACUCCUCUGCCUGUUGUUAUAUCACACUCUGUACAGAAGGAGGGCCUUGAAGAGAUCCCUGGAAAGCUCCUUGAGUGUGUCCGGUGCGCCAAUGAAUUUCAGUUACCGCAAUUUGCAGUCCAGAACCGGCAAUUUUUCGCAGUUGCUCGGCACAGGUCAGCAUGUACAUAUACAUAUACUUUGAAAGGGAUGAAAUUGUUUGAACAAAGCCAGUUGGACUUGAUCAAUUUGGAUUAAUGUUGUCUUCUCUUUUUUUCAGGAGGGUUUGGGAGUGUAUACAAGGGAAGCCUUUCAGAUGAGGCAUUGGUUGCAGUGAAGAAGCUUGACAAGGUUUUGUCUCAUGGGGAGAAGGAAUUCAUAACUGAAGUGAACACCAUUGGCUCUAUGCAUCACAUGAACCUGGUUCGCCUAUGUGGCUACUGCUCGGAAGGCUCUCACCGGUAUGCAUUUCAUUUCAUCGCCUAAAACCAAUUACCACUAACCAUAAUUAAAUUCUUGUCAUCCUCUUUUGUGGUCAAGCAUACUAUAUUUUCGAGCUUAUAAUGGGGUUGGAAUUUGAUGAUUCUUCACAGGCUUCUGGUUUAUGAGUUCAUGAAAAAUGGUUCCUUGGACAAGUGGAUAUUCCCCUCAAAGCAUUGCCGGGACAGACUGCUAGAUUGGGGAACUCGUUUCCAUAUAGCCAUUGCUACUGCACAAGGGAUUGCUUAUUUUCAUGAGCAGUGCAGGAAUCGGAUAAUCCACUGCGAUAUCAAGCCUGAAAACAUACUUCUAGAUGAGAAUUUCUGUCCAAAAGUUUCAGACUUUGGACUAGCAAAGCUGAUGGGCAGAGAGCAUUCACAUGUUGUCACUAUGGUGAGAGGAACUAGGGGCUAUCUGGCUCCAGAAUGGGUUAGCAACCGGCCUAUUACUGUAAAAGCCGAUGUCUACAGUUACGGAAUGCUUCUCCUGGAGAUUGUUGGUGGCCGGAGAAACCUUGACAUGACCUUUGAUGCAGAAGACUUCUUCUAUCCUGGGUGGGCUUUUAAGGUAUAGAUCAAUCAAGUUCUUGCUUCUGUAAAUCACAAAUUGUUAAGUGUUUGAUAUUUUAUUAACGAAAAUGCCAAUUCCUCUAGGAAAUGAGUAAUGGGACGACAAGAAAAGUUGCAGACAGGCGACUGGAAGGGGCAGUGGAGGAAGAGGAGCUAGAAAGAGCAUUGAAAACUGGCUUUUGGUGCAUUCAAGAUGAGGUUUUCAUGAGGCCUUCAAUGGGGGAAGUGGUGAAGAUGUUGGAAGGAUCACUUGAAAUCAACACACCGCCAAUGCCACAGACAGUUCUGGAGCUCAUGGAGGAGGGCUUAGACAAUGUAUACAGAGCCAUGAAGAGAGAGUUCAACCAGUCCAGCUUCUUCACCAUCAAUAAUAGUACCCAUCCUUCAUCAAGGGCUACAUGUAGUUAUUCCACAAUGUCACCUAGAUAGCAAAGGAGAAAUGGAACAAAUUUUGUUGUUGUCCCGGAAUUUUAUCACCUUGAUAGAUACUGUCCAGAAACAUAAUUCUUAUUGAUCAAUUGUUACCAUACAUACUAAUGGGCAAUGAAAUUAGUAGAGAACUUUGCAUAGGUUGAGGUACGAAAAUCUCGGUCUUUUAAAGGAGAUUUAAGCCAUUUCUGGUUUGACAAUUUGAGAAAUUGGUGUAUUUGACUUCUCUUUGAUUUGUCCCCACAAGGAUACGAUAGUCGGCCAAGUGAUUUGUUGCAUAGCUCACAUCAAUAUGCAUAAAGCAUAGAACUUAAGGCUUCACAAAGAAAAAAAAAAAAAAGAAGAAGAAAGGAAGAAGAUAACUAAAAAAAGUCUAAAAAACAUGACAUUAGGAGGAUGAGUCAAAAGACUCAUCAUAAAGUUUAAAAUCUUCAACAAUUUUGAAAGAAUUCAAUCUAGCUCUUUAAUUUUUAUAAGCUAAAUCCCAUUGACAUAAAUGAUAUUUAAUACUUCUCAAUUCCCAUAAUUGUAACUACAAAUUCAAUAAUCCAUUAUGCCAACUUUAAUCCCCUUAACUUUCAUAUAUAACCAUAAUGUUGGUAGCUAGUUUACAUUGAUAACUUUGUUCCAAACUUGUUGGAUCUAACUCUAAUAUUUAAUUACUUCAUGUGACUUACAUUGGACUUGAAAACUUGAAAUUUUUAUCAAUUCCUCCUUAAGGUCAUUCUGGUAACUAUGAUUAAGUUUGUUCGGGUGAAUAAUGACAUCAAAAGGUAUAUGCUGGUUUUUAUUAGAUGAUGUGAAAAUAAUAGGGAAAAAAAGAAAAAAAGAAUCGGAUUUUGAUGAGCAAUCAAGUGAUCCUUAUGAGUGCUUAAGUGCCCAUAACGACUUUACAUAAUUUUUUACUAAUUUUCUUAUUCCAUUUUUUCAUGAUAUUUUUCCGCUACGAUUUUUAAGAUUAUGAUUACACCUUAUGUUAUUGAUUUGAUAUAUGUUUUUUAGAGCUAUAUGCUAUUAUUCUCUAAGAGCCCCAUCGUGGAUUAAGUUUAGUUUGUGGUGAUUUCUUUCAUUAAGGAAUACUCUCUCUCUCUCUCUAAUUGGGAAAUAUCAUCGAUAUGUUGGUGGACAUUGAAGUGAAAUAUAGGAUAGUUUGUGGUGAUUUCUUUCAUUAAGGAAUACUCUCUCUCUCUCUAAUUGGGAAACAUCAUUGAUAUGUUGGUGGACAUUGAAGUGACAUAAGGGGAGAUGGAUAGAUAUUGAAGUGACAUAUAGGGGAGAUAUAUCCAUCUACUGAAGUUUCGGUUAUUUUUUAAAAAUUUGAUAUUUUUGCCAUUCACAUAUUUAAGAGAAUAAAAUAUAAAAGAGUUAAAUAUCUUAUUCCUCGUAAAAUUGAAAUUUCAACUUUUGAAAUGUCAAAUUACAAAAUUAUAAAACACAUUAAAUUUUGAUAUGCCUUAGAAAAAAAACAUAUUUAAUUCAUUUUUUUUUAAUUUUCUUUGUUAUCUUAUUAAUUAAGUUAGCAAAUUACAUUAAAAAUCAAAUAACAAUGGAUCAAUUAAAAGAUAUAACACUAUGUUCGGUUGUCUAAGAUUUGAAAGUAAUGACAACAAAAAGAAAACAAAGAAAAAAAUAAAAAUAAAAAUAAAAAAAAUAAAAAAAUAUUUAAAAUUAAUAAAUUAUUUUUACAUCUUAAUAAAUUAUUUUUACAUAAUUCUUUAUUCAUUCCACUUAUUUAUACUCUUUUAUAUAAAAAUUAAAUAAUUUUAAAAAUAUAUAAAAUUUUAAUUAAUUUUAAUUAUAUUUGAUUUUUCUUUACACUUUUUUAGAGUUAAUUUUGUUCACCUUCUAGAGCUUUGGGUUAAAUAUAUUUAGUCACCUUGAGUUUAAAAUUUUAUCAAAUAUCUUUCUUCCUUUUUUUUUGAGUUAGAGGUAGGGGCAUAACUUGAGCGGAUAGGCCCUACUCAACCUGAUGUUUGAAUAGCUUGAACAAUUAUUUUCAAUACUUGAGUUGUGAUAGAUUAAAUAUUUUCAAUUCGAGCUCAAUUUGGACGACUAAAGAUUCAAACAACUCAAACCUAAUCCAAAUUGGAUUUAAUAUUUUUAUAAUAUUUAUAAUAUAAAAUAUCAAAUAUUAUUAUUACAUAUCAUAUCUUGAAAUUUUGUUCUAUUAAUUAUUUAAAUUUUGACAUAAAUAUAUGAGUUUAUUAUACUUUACCCCUAUAACCUAUAACUUGUUUUACACAUUGUUCCAUCAAGUUCAAAAUUGAGUAAUGUACCUUCCAUAUUUAAUAACUGUACGUAAUGUGCAUUUUUUUUAAAGACAACUUUAUUUUUUGGACGGAAAGGUACGUGCUCUCCGCGUGAUUGAGGGUAAAAGUGUCUUUUUUCCUUUGCAACUCCCUCUCUCGAUCAUUACUCCCCUUUGGAACCCCAAAUUGUAGCCCGCUUCUUCCUGACCCGUUCUUCUUUCCUUCCUUCAAAGCCUUAGAAUGUGAAUCCCAAAAAGUUGCUACUGAAGCCCUAGAAAAUUUCUCAUGUUUGUAGGGUGGAAAUGUUUCUCCAAAUUUCCCUAAAAAAUUGCCCAAAAAUUUCCCCAGUUUUUUGAAACACAAAAACAAAACCCCAACCCUAAACUAGAAGCAUAACAAAAAAAAUUUAAACCCUAACAUAAAAACCCUAGCCCUCAAUUGGCCCUAGUUUUAUUCAACCAUAAAUCCCCCAAAUUUCCCCUGAAAAUUGCCUUUAAAUUUCUACAAAAUUUCCCCCAAAAUUCUCCUAGUUUUCUUAAACAUGAAAAUGAAACCCUAACCUUGAACUAAAAUCAUAACAUAAAAAUUUAAACCCUAACAUGAAAACCCUAACCCUCAAUUUGCCUGAGUUUUAUUCUUCCAUAAUUUCCACAAAAUUUCCCCAAAUUUUCUGAAAGAUCCAAACGAAACCCUAACCCUAAAGAAAUUGGAAGACAAAAAAUACCUUUGAACUUUCAUGUCUCUCUUCAAUGUCAGCCCUGCAUUAGCUUCUUUGGGAUUCUAGGGCUUCAGCUUUGAGUUUCACUAAUAGCUACAGAGGAGGAACAGUACAUGCUGGAGAAGAUGAGGGUUUUAAAAUAACAAUGACCCUUUUGCCCUUGCUUUAUGGGAACGAAGACAAUUUUGCCCUCAGUCACGUGGAGAGUACAUGUCUUUCUGUCCAAAAAAAAUAAUGUCGUAUUUAAAAAAAUACACAUUUUAUGCAAUUAUAAAGAAUUAAGGGUACAUUAUUCGAUUUUGUACUUAAGGGGGCAAUGUGUAAAAUAUGCUUUAAAUUGAGGGGUAAAGUGUAAUUAACUUUAAAUAUAUAGAAAAAAUAUUUUUUUGAAAAACAUUAUUUGGGUAAAUUUUGAAUUAUGCAAUCGAUUAUUUUCUCUUGAAUAACCUCAUGAAUCCGAACUCAAUCUAAUUUUUUUUUAUCCUACUUUAGAUAUAUAUAACUCAUUUGUCUUGUCUCGGUCACUUCGUCCCAAUCACAUUCAUAAAUUUUCUCGGGAAACUUGUGUUUGAGGCUGGUAAUAUUAAAAUAGUAUGAGAUUGGAAACCCAACUUUUGAUUUUUUAAUAUAAUUAUUCUAAUCCUAAAAAUAAUAUAGGGUUCAUGCACUUUUAGCUGAACUAUUUUUUAAUAUCCAAUAUGCCCUCUUCUUUCUGCCAGGUCAACCUCCACAUGUGAAAAAAAAAAGAGGUCUUCUUCCAUCUCCAGCAUCACCUGUGAAAAAAAAAGGGUCUUAUUCCAUCUCCAGUAUCACCUCCACUAGAUGACCAUAACUCCUCCCAAACUUCUUCACCUCCAUUUGCAGACUGUCCACUAUCGGGUCAACUUGUUUCAUCUCAAUCAUCGCCGCGGCUCAUCACCAGCGACGACCGAGGGAACCUCGACUCUAUGUACCGCAUCAACAUCUCCCCCGAUCCCGAAACUGUGUCAGAGCCACACUGCAGAACCAACAUAUCGGGUUUGAGAAUCGGCGUCUCGGCCGACACCAUACAGAUGGAUACGCAUUUGUGGUGUAGGGCGAACCGGAUGUAGGAGGUGAGAGGAACCGCUGGAGAUAAACGACACCAAAAUUCCUUUCCCAUCUUCCACUCCCUGGUUGUAGGUCUCAUCAUAGGAAACAAACGGCUGAGACUUAGUAAAUUGGGAGAGGAAGCAUGCUAGUUGUAGGUGUGAGAAGUUGCGGGAGAGUCAUGGACGAAGGUGGGGGGAGAGAGAGAGAGAGAGACUUGAAGAGGUUAGGUUUUCUUUUUGGGAUUUGGGUUUCAAAAGGGAGCAGAGCAGAUGGAAAAUUUUAGGCAAAACGUUUUAUGUUUUCUCGGUUUUUUGAUUUUUUGGUUUUUUUUUUAAAAAAAAAAUAAGUGGAGGUUGACGUGGUAGAGAAGAGAGGCAUAUUAGGUAUUAAAAAUCAGCUCAGCCCAAAGGGCAUGGAACCCAAAAUAUUUUGGGUUCAAUAUUGAAAAAUUAAAAAUGGUAAAAAUGAGUUUUGGUUUUCAUAAUAUUUAGAUAUCACCAUCCCAAAACCUAACUUUUCCAAUUUUCUCUUUCGUGCUUGCCGUGAAAGUCACUUGCUCCGCAAUUUACGCAAAGACUCUAUUACCAUUGACUUUAUUACAAUUUCUACAAGAAAAAUCGAACUUCAAGACUAAGCAAAUAUCCUAGGAAUCAAGCUGGAAGCUACAAUGCUGUUUCAGGGAAGCAUAUGAUAUACAAAUACAACCCUUAUAUGUUACAGCUUCGGUACUGACCAGGAGACUGUAAGUACUGGCCAUGGAUGCAGAAGAAGAAAGGCUAAGUAAAACCCAUAUCCAUGGCCAAUUGGUAGAGAUAAACCACAAUCAGGAGAAACGAAUACGCCACGAAGAAACAAAGGCGCAGAAUCUGACAACUGGGUUUGCGGUCGUCCAAGCUUUAAUUCUCAACACAGGGGUGAUCAAUAAGCCAUCUAACAGAUGCGAACACUGGUGGGUGCCAUUCUCUCUCUCCUUAUCAGUCGGUGUGAUUUAUUUCAUCACCAUUUUUGAGGUGUUGAGGAAAUGGUACCUUCUGCUCUACCAUUUGGACGUCAACUACCUGGAGCAAGAACUUAUUCUACUGGAAAUGCAUGGGGGUGCUCCGUCCUGGCGAAAUGAUCAGCCAUUGAAGCCAGAUGUGGUGAAGCUCCUGAGGCGUAAAGCUUAUAUCACGAUACUGAUUUCUGCUAUGCUCGCCUUUCAAGCUCUGAUGCUCCACGCCUGCAGAUCCUUUCUUUGCAGCUGAAAGUAACCAUCUUCCCCUUUAAAUAAAUACUAGAAUAAAAAAAAAUUGUUGUUUAUUAUGCCAAAUUUCUCGAUGCCUUUGAAGAGUGUCAUGGGAAAUGCUAUUAAGAUGCAAACUACAUAAUUCAAAAUGCAUUAUAUGGAACGAAAUUAUUUACCAUGAAAUUUAUUUAUAUUGUUUUUCUUUCUAAAGUAUUCAAAAUGCAUGAUAUGCAAUAGAAAAUUUUGAGGGAAAAUAUCACAGAAAGAAAAUAGAGAGAAAAAAUAGAAUAAAAAAAUAUGAAAAAAAAAUAAAAAAAUAUAUUUAAAGUCAAUAAAUUAUUUUUAUAUCUUAUUUUAAACUUAUUUUACUUAUUUUAACUCAUCAAUAUAAAGGUUAAAUAAUUUUAAAAUAUAUAAAAUUUUAAUUAAUUUAAAUUAUAUUUGAUUUUAUUUGACAUUUUUCAUGAUACAAUCAUGAGAAACUCGUUUUCUUAAACAUUUUUCUUUUCUUUUUUCAGUAGUUUUUGGCAACCAAACAUUACCUAAAAUUUUGUUAGUGCAUCUCCUUAGGUGUUUGUGCUCACAUAUUGGGCCCAAGAAUGGGUUCCUGCAACUACCAUCAAUGGGCCGGGCUGCCCAAUCAAUAACAAAAGGGCACUCACCUGGGUCUCAUGGGCCGAGAAAAAUGGAGCCCAUACACAACAGUUUUGAACCCAAACAUAAAUUUCAAGUUCAUAUAUACUUUUAAUCUCGUUUAUUCAUUCAUAUUAGAAAUCUAGAUUUAUAUUAAUUCAUUCAUGUAGAUCUAUAUAUUAGGAAUCAAAUUAGAGUGCAUAGAAACCAAAAUUAAGAGAGAGGAUUAUACCCAGGGAAGUUUUGUGUGAUACGUUGAACUGAAAGUGAUAAAAACUAAGACUAUGUUUAAUUCCCAAAAAGCAAUAAGGAAAGAAAAAAAAAUAUGAAGGAAAAUUAUUUUCUUGUAUUUUAUUUUUUUAUGAAAAACUUGAAAGGAAAUAAAAUAUAAUUAAAAAUUUAUUAUAUAUUUUUAAAUUAUUAAUUUCCAUAUAAAAGGGGAACAAAAUGUCAAUGAAUUUGAAAUAACAAAUAAAAAUGAUUUAUAAGUUUUAAAUCCAUUUUUUUUAUUUUCCUUAAUAUUUUCCUUCUUCUACUUUUUCUUUCUAUUUUCUUUUUCUCACAUUUUCUCUUAGAUUUUCUAAGAACCAAACAUAAUAUAAAAAAACAAAUAAUAUAUAAAAAAACCCAAAUAAUUUGACAUGUGGUAUAUUGUUGCUAGUCAAAGUAAUGGUUGUGGGUGACUUUUAGAAGCCUCCAAUAAGAAAUGGCCAAAAAACCUAUGAGCUUGGCAUUUAUUUGAGUAUCUCGGGGACAAUAUUUUAUUUUUAAUUAUGUGUUUUAAUUCAUUGUUUUUUUUUCUUUAAUAUUAUUUUAGAAAUAUGUUUAGAGAUAUGUUAAUUUUAGUGCUUAUAGUAAUAUAAAGAUUUUGAUAAUUAAAAAUUUGUUUAAAAAUGAUUUUAGGAAGCAUUUAACCUAUUUAAUCUUUAAAUUUUUUAUAAAAGAAUUGUUUUCAAGUGCUAAAAAGAUUAGAGACAUUUUAUAAAAUUACUAUUAAAUAAAUUCUAAAUAUAAUCGAGUCGUGUGACUAUAAAUUGCUAGACUUUUCCAUGUGAUUAAUCCUUGGAUACUUGGAAUUUGUUUAUGUGGGGUAGAGCUUUUGUGAGUUUGUUUGCAAUUUUCUCAUACUAGAAACAAAUGAAUGGUCAGAGAAAGGAACAUAGAAAAGAGAAGAUUGAAACACCUUCACCUGCUCCGAAGGUUCGUAUGAUCUUCAUGCCAGCCUCCAUGCCUCAUUUUCCCGCUUAUAAAAAAAAGGCCACAAAAGACUAGACUGAUCUGAUAAAGCAGGGCCGGAAAAGCGAGCUCGACACGAAGAAACGAAAGCCGGCCAAUGCAGUCCGAGAGAUCACACAGCGAACUGUUCGAGUCUGGGCUUUUGUUUCUUCGUGUCGGUCUUGCUUCUGUCUCCGGCCGGAGGAACAAAAUUGUACAGACAUGGAUGGGAAGAACUCCUGUAAUAUCAAGAGUCCUUCUAUCUUUGGAUUGUUAUAAUAAUAUUAUCUUCAAAACAAAAUUUAUGCAAGUGGGGGUAUAUUUUUUAUUUUUUGUUUUUGAAAAUAGGAAGUUUUAUACAAAAUAUAAAAAAAUCUUAUAUGAAAGAUAGGUAUAAUCUUGUUAUGUUAUUUGAAAACAUUUUUUAAAAUUGACAGAAGUAAAAAAAUUUCAAUUCCAUAAAUUUUUAAAUUUUGAAAAAGUCUUUAAGAAGGGUAGGUAAGAGGAUGCUUGUUAAUGGUUAGAAAAUAGUUUUAUAUGUUUUAGAACAAAAGAAUAAUAAAAAAAAACAUGCUUAGUGAUUAGAAAACAGUUUAUACUCUUAAAAAACAAAAAAUCGGAGUGUUUUUAGAUAAUAUCUUUUAAUUUUUAAAAUUAUUUUUAUUUAUUGAAAAAUAAUCAUACAAAAUGCAGAAUGAUUAUGAGUAAAGUAUUACAUGUGAAACUUAUUUUUAAAAAAUAUUUAAAAACAUAAAAAAAAAAGUUAAUAACAGUUCAAGUUUCCAAACAAACUAUUAUUUUACAAAAUAUUAAAUAACAAUUUUAAAAAAUAGUUUUAAAAAAUACUUUUCGAACACAAUUUAAAUUUUUUUCUUUUUGCAUAAAAAUUCUUAUAUUUUGUAUAAGAGUUUUUAUUUUUAAAAAUAAAAAAAUAAGAAAUAUAUUCAAAGAUAUUUAAUAAACAAUAAAAUUCAAAAGAGAAAGCCUUAAAUUUUAUGUUAUUAUUGUAAAAUGAGAAUAAAUGUGACUCAAAUAAUAGUAGGGAUGACUAUGUAUUAUUUUAAUAAUAUAUAUAUAGAGGGGCGGGGGGAAGAAAUCAAAGAAAAGUGUUGAGAGAAUGAAAGAAAGAGAGAGAGAAUGAGAGGAAGAAAAUUUCUUCUUUUUCUCGGAAUGCUCUUACAUGGGGUGUAAGAACCCUUUUAUAGGAUUCAUAAGAUGAACUCCCAUUACUCAUCUUAAAGAUGAGUAAAUGGAGUUCAUAAAUGACCAUCAAUGUGGUCAUUCAUCACUUCAUUUACAACAUUUCCCCUUGGAUGACCACCAUAUUAAAAGAAUAUGUUUCAUUAAAACCUUGUUAGUAAAAAUUUUUAUAGGAAAAACCUAGUGAAGGAAAAAGAGUACAAUAUUCUUUUCUUGGUAUAUUAGGACUACCUCGUUAAAAACCUUGCCAGUAAAACCCAGUAGGACAAAACCUGGACGAAGGAAAAAAGAGUACAGUACACUAACACCCUUUUACAAGCAUACUCCCCCUCAUGUCAAUAUCCUUGAGUUGACGCAUUCCAAUCAUGUAUAUUAAUUUCUUGAAUGUUGAGGUUGACAAUGAUUUUGUGAAUAAAUCUGUUAGAUUAUCACUUGAGCGUAUUUGUUGCACAUCAUUUUCACCACUCUUCUAGAGUUCAUGUGUAUAAAAGAAUUUUGGUGAAAUGUGUUUAGUUCUAUCUCUUUUAAUAUAACCCCCUGUUAUUUGUGUAAUGCAUGUAGCAUUAUCUUCAAAUAAUAUUGUCGGGUCACCUUUGAUAGAGGAGAGUCCACAUGAUUCCCGAAUAUGUUGGAUCAUAGAUCUUAGCCUUAUACAUUCAUGACUUGCUUCAUGAAUUGCUAGUAUUUCUGAAUGAUUUGAUGAUGUGGCCACCAUUGUUUGUUUGACAUAUCUCCAUGAAAUAGCAGUACCAUUGCAAUUAAACACAUACCCUGUUUGUGACCUACCUUUAUGUGGAUCUGAAAGAUAUCCUGCAUCUGCAUAUCCAAGCAAUUGUUGCUUUGAUUCCGUUGAGUAAAAUAAACCCAUAUCAGUAGUUCCGCAAAGAUAACAUAAUAUAUGUUUGAUACCAUUCCAAUGUCUUCGAGUUGGAGUGGAAUUGUAUCUUGCUAAUAAAUUGACAGAAAAAGCAAUGUCUGGAUGUGUACAAUUGGCAAGAUACAUAAGUGCACCAAUAGCACUAAGAUAUGGUAUUUCAGGACCAAGUAACUCUUUUUUUUUUUUUCGCAAGGACGAAAUGAGUCAUUUUUCACAUCAAGUGAUUGGACAACCAUUGAAGAACUUAAAGGAUGCGCUUUAUCCAUAUAAAAACGCUUCAAAACUUUGUUAACGUAUGUUGAUUGAUGUACUAAAACUCCAUUUGGAAAAUGCUCGAUCUGCAGGCCGAGAUAAAAUUUUGUUUUUCCAAGAUCUUUCAUCUCAAAUUCCUUUUUCAAGUAAUUUGUUGUUCUUGUGAGCUCUUAAGAAGUUCCAACAAGAUUUAAGUCAUCGACAUACACUGUAAUAAUUGCAAAUCCGGUUUCUGAUUUCUUAAUGAAGAUGCAUGGGCAUGUAGGGUUAUUCACGUAUCCUUCUUUUAGCAAAUAUUCGCUAAGACGAUUGUACCAUAUGCGUCCAGAUUGCUUUAAUCCAUACAAUGAUCGUUGUAACUUGAUUGAGUACAUGCUACGAGACUUUAUACUAUUUUCUCCAGGCAAUUUAAAUCCUUUAGGGAUUUUCAUGUAUAUAUCAUUAUUCAUGGAUUCGUAUAAAUAUGUUGUAAUAACAUCCAUGAGAUGCAUAUCCAAUCCUUCUGAGACUACCAAAUUGAUUAAGAAACAAAAUGUGAUUGCAUCCAUGACGAGAUAAUAUGUUUCUUCGUAGUCAAUACCAGGUCUUUGCGAGAAACCUUGUGCUACUAAUCGCGCUUUAUAUCUUAUGAUCUCAUUAUUCUCAUUGCGCUUUCGUACAAAUACCCAUUUGUACCCAACAGGCUUUACAUCUUCAGGUGUUUAGACUACAGGUCCAAAAACUUCUUGUUUUGUUAAUGAGUUUAACUCUGCUUGUAUAGCUUCAUUCAGUUUUAGCCAAUCAUUUCUAUGUCAACAUUCUUCCACAUUUCGUAGUUCGGGAUUUUCAUCAUUUCUUUUGACUUUAGAGGCCACUUGGAAAGCAAAAAUAUUGUUAAUAACAAUAUUAUUUAAAUCCAUUUUUUCUCCCGUGUGUACAUAACUUACUGAGAUAUCACAAUUUUUAGGUACCUGUGCCUCUUCAAGGGCUUCUCGUUCAAUAUGUGCCUCUUCAAAGGCUUUUUGCAUUAUUUAUGCCUCUUCUAGGGCUAUAGAUUUAUCAAUUUUAAAUUGAUCAGUCAUUUUGAUGGCCUCUUCUAGAGUGCCAAGUUUUUCUUCGGUUCUCAUUUUCUAGGAAGUUACAUCAUUUGAGCCGACAAGUUUACCACGCUUCAGGCAUAUCUUAAAUUCAUUUGUUAACUGUCCUAUAGGGACAUCAAUCCGUGCUGGAGUAUUUGUAGUCGGGAUAUGUUACUUUGUCACUUUCUUUGUAUUAAUGAAUGCAUCUGGUAAUUGAUUUGCAAGAUUUUGCAAAUGAAUGAUCCUUUGGAAGAUGGGUCAUAGUAGAUGCCUUCCAACUAAUUUCUCAUGGUUCUUCAGGAAUCGACUUUUCUCCCCUUAAUGAUGGGAAAACACUCUCAUUAAAAUGACAAUCCGCAAAGCGGGCAGUAAAAACAUCACCUGUCAAAGGUUCAAGAUAUCUUAUGAUAGACGGAGAAUCAAAACCUACAUAAAUCCUAAGUCUUCGUUGGAAAUCCAUUUUAGUGCGUUGUGUAGGUGCAAUUGGUACAUAUACUGCACAACCAAAGAUUUGUAAGUGAGAGAUAUUUGGUUGUUUUCCAAGCACAAGUUGUGAAGGGGAAUAUUCAUGGUAAGUUGUAGGUUGAAUAUGGACUAAAGCUACAACAUGCAUAAUAACAUGUCCCUAGGUAGAAGUAGGUAAUUUGGUUUUCAUUAGUAAUGGUCGAGCUAUUAAUUGGAGACGUUUGAUGAAGGAUUCUGCUAAGCCAUUUUGGGUAUGAGUAUGAGCAACAAGAUGCUCAAUAUUUAUCCCUACUGACAUGCAAUAGUCAAUGAAUGUUUGAGAAGUAAAUUCUCCAGCAUUAUUAAGACGUAUUGUCUUAAUUGGAUAAUAUGAAAAUUGUGCUCGUAAUAUGAUUAUUUGUGCAAGGAGUCUAGCAAAGGCAACGUUACGUGUAGAAAGGAGACAAACAUGUGACCACCUAGUAGAAACAUCUAUUAAGAUCAUAAAAUAACGGAAUGGUCCACAUGGUGGAUGGAUAGGCCCACAUAUGUCCCUAUGUAUUUUUUCUAAAAAGACUGGUGACUCAGAUAUAACUUUAGUAAAAGAUGGUCUGAUUAUCAAUUUACCUUAUGAGCAGGCAACACAUGAGUAUUCAUUGGGUGAAAGAAUCUUCUAGUUCUAUAGUGGAUGUCAAUGUGAGUGUUCGAUUAUUCGACACAUCAUUGCAGACCCUGGGUGACCUAGCCUGUCAUGCUAAAGUACAAAAACUUUUGGGUCGUUGAACUUCUGGUUCACGACAACAUAUGAUUCAAUAGGCUUUAUAGUUGUAUGAUACAACCCAGAGGAGAAAGUCGGGAGUUUUUCCAUUAUAAGCUUCUGACCAGAUAUAAUGGAAGUAAUGUAAAGAUGUUCUAUAUUAUCUUCAUUCAUAGUUUCAAUAUGAUAUCCAUUUCUGCGGAUAUCUUUAAAACUAAGCAAAUUUAUUCUGGAUUUGCUAGAAUAUAAAGCAUCAUUUAUAUGAAAUCUAGUUCCAUUUGGCAACGUUAUGUUUGCUCUUCUAGAACCUUCAACUAAGUUUGUAGUACUAGAUAUGGUACUUACAUUAGCUUUUAUUAAUGUCAAUUCAAGGAAAUAUCUUUUAUCUCGAAGAAUUGUGUGCUUGGUCGCACAGUCUACGAGACACACAUCAUCCUCAUUCAUCUUGAGACCAAAUAACACAUGGAUUUCAGAUAUAACAAAAUAAAACAAGGCAUAAUGUAAAUAACAAAGUAAAUCAGAUGUAAAUAUAAGACAUAAUAAUAUAUUAUUUCAUAUAUAAAGUAACAUCAAUUAAUGUUAAUUUUCUCAUCAUUUAUCAAAUGGUCUAUUUUUUCAUUGGGACCUUCAAAGAAAUCAAUGUCAUAGUAGGUUAGGUCCAAUCCAUCACCAUCAGUAAAGUUCAUCUUUAUCUCUUUUCCUUUUGCUUUUAUUGAUGCUUGGUAAAGGUCGACUAAAUGUUUGGGCGUACGACAGGUAUGCGACCAAUGCCCCUUCAUACCACAUCUAUAACAAUUAUUCUCGUGGUUCUUAGGAGGUUUAUCUUGUAAAUGCUUCCCAUUUUCUUGUAUUGUCUCAGUAUUGUUCCAUUUCUGGUGGUGCAACGAGGCUUUCAUUUUCUGAGAAUUAUUACUAUAAGAACCAUGGUAUCGGGGAUUUUUUCCACGAUCAUGACCACGUCCAUGAAUUUGGACGAUAUUGCAUUCACUUUAAGGAAUGGUUCAGAUCCAGUUGGACGAGAUUGAUGAUUUCUCAUUAAAAGCUCAUUAUUUUGUUUAGUAACAAGAAGACAUGAUAUUAAUUCAGAAUAUUUUGUAAAUCUACACUUUCUAUAUUGCUGUUGCAGGAGCACAUUCGAGGCAUGAAACGUAGUAAAAGUUUUCUCUAACAUGUCUUCUUCUAUGAUUUUUUCUCCAUGUAGCUUUAAUUGAGAGCUGAUUUUGAAAAGUGCGGAGUUGUAUUCACUAAUAGUUUUAAAAUCUUGCGACCUUAGGUGCAUCCAAUCAUAUCAAGCUUUUGGGAGAAUCACAGUUUUCUGGUGGUCAUAUCUUUCCUUCAAAUUACUCCAUAGAGUAAAAAAGUCCUUUACCGUAAAAUACUCAUUUUUUAAACCUUCAUGGAGGUGAUGACGAAGGAAAAUCAAUGCUUUUGCGCGAUCCUGCAGGGAUGCUUGAUUUCCUUCUUUGAUUGUAGCUCCAAGGUUUAUUGCAUCAAGAUGUAAUUCAACAUCAAGGAUCCAAGAUAGAUAAUUCUUUCCCGAAAUGUCAAGUGCCACAAAUUUGAGUUUUGUGAUAUUCGACAUUGUCAAAUAACUUCAUAUAUAUGACAAAACAAUAUUAUUAGAAUCAAUUAUAAUAACUUAAUAGCAUUGGUAUAACUUUGAUUAUAAACAAAAUCAAAUAAUUUGUUUAUAAUUUUUAACAAUAUGUAACAAAACAAAUCAACAAUAAUAUAAAUAUGUAAAAUUUUAUCCUAUAUAAAUAACUUCAAGUUUAAGAUACGAGAAUUACCUUCAGAACAAUUCGUGCUAAUAAUGUGUUGUAAAAAGAGAAUAAAUGUGACUCAGAUAAUAGUAGGGAUGACUAUGUAUUACUUUAAUAAUAUAUAUAUAUAUAUAAAGGGGGAGGGGGGGAAGAAAUCAAAGAGAAGUGUUGAGAGAAUGAAAGAAAGAGAGAGAGAGAGAGAAUGAGAGGAAGAGAAUUUUUUUUUUCUCGAGAUGCUCUUACAUGGGGUGUAAGAAGCCUUUUAUAGGCUUUAUAAUAUAAACUCCCAUUACUCAUUUUAAAGAUGAGUAAAUGGAGUUCAUAAAUGACCAUCAAUGUGGUCAUUCAUCACUUCAUUUACAACAGUUAUUAAUUUGUUGUAUUACUUAGAGGGGGUGAAUGAAUUGAAAGCACUAUGGAGGUAAGCUUUUUAGUUUUUUCACCUUAUCCUCUUUAUACAUAAUGUCUCCAUCAAUGAUGUUCAGUAUAUUCCUUAUUUUUGUUUUACUUAAGUGUUCUUGUAUUGUAGCCCUCUCAAGACUCUUCCUCUUCACUCCAAACAAGUUAAUUGUCUUCAUAUCAAAGUAACAUAAGUUGAUUUUCUUAUAGGGCUAAUGCUACUUAUGUGAUUAUUUUCUUUACAAAAGUUGCAAAUAAUAUUUGAGGAUUCCUUGACAAAAUAAUUUUUAAAUUUUUAUUUUUUUAUUUUUUUUAUUUUUAUAGAGCUUGUAUCCUAAUCCCUUUAUUGCAAAGAUUAUUUUUUUACUUGCCAAAAUUAUCAAAAUUCUUGUCCCCAUUUGAGAAUUUUGAAAGAGAAGAGAUUAACUAAUGAAUUUUCUUUUCAAGUAAGUAUAUAUUUUAUUCCAAGGAAAACCUUAGCCUUUUUUAGAUAUUUUAAACUCCCCUUUUAAGUCAUUAAUUUCAACUUGAAGAGAGAUGAUUUUCUUUUUAAGAUAAGCCUGAAAGUUAUUUGAUCUAGUUUAGGUAACACCUAGAGGAGUUGAAUGGUGUUUAAACUUUUCUGCUCAAAAAUGAAUUAUUUUAUAUUCAUAUAACAAACAUUUUUUCAAUUUAGGAAAGCCUAAAAACACUCAAUACAAAAACAUAAGAUUUUUAUAUGGAAAACCACCCAUAUCAUGUGCGGAUGUAAAAACGACAAGGUCAGACUUUUAAUCAUUAAUAAACUAUUUGAAAGUAUUAUACAUGGUUUUAGUUGGUGGAAGCUAUCGUUAAGUCUUACUACCCAACACCUACAAUGCACUUCACAUUUGCGAUAUAGCACUACGUGUGCUCUUAGUGGAUCUAACCUCAGUGUUUGAGAGGAUGUAGAUCUCCUUUUCAAUCCAACAUAAGCGAAAACAACAUUCCUUGAGAGUUUUAGGAAUAAGAUGACGAAUUUGGUUUUUCAAAAAAUUUGCAUCAAACCAAAAACCUUUUUAGGUAAAACAUUUAUAGGCAUAAGAAGCUGGCAGACUGGAUCUAAAAUUUUCCAAAAUAAGACCUUAAAAAAAAUUAGAAAAUCAAAGUUCCAAAAAUUUUGGAGAAUUCUAUCAUGGGUGUUUGAGUGCUCAUGGGAGCACUUGAGUGCUUAAGGAGAUUUUUUAAACUUUUUAAAAAUUCUUUUAGCUUGGUUUUAAAACCAUUAGUUCGCACCAUGCCUUAACAAACACCAAUUUGUCAUUCUUGAACCUUUUGAUUUUUACUUGUGCCAUCCUGAUUGAUCACAUAACAACUUUGAGUCUUCAAUGAAGAGUAAAACACAAUUUAGAAAGAUUCUAAACUAGAAUGAAAGGAAUUAUAUAGCCUAAUAUACCAACAAUCUUCUCCUAUGAUAAUUUUAUGAAAAAAAAUACAAAUUACAUAAACCCCCUAAUACUCUUCAAUGGAGUUUAAGAAUCUCUCAAUAACUCUCGUCUAAACCAAAUCAUUCUUGAACAUGCAGAUGAUGAUAAAUCACAUCUAAAAGUGGGCAAUACCCCACUACUUGUGACCUGCACACACAAACCAACCAAGUACUCAAGUAAAACAAUGUGUGAGAGAAAACACAACUCAUAAAUUCUAUCAAAUCAAGGUAAGAGUAGAUGGAUGUGAGUCAUGCAUACAAUGGAUAUCUAAUCAAUAGUAUCAAUAAAUUGUCUCCCCAUUUUUGUCGCAAAAAUGACAAAGAAGGAAUAAACAAUGAAUGCACAUAAGAGAAAGAGAAACAAUUAAGCAAAAGAACUUCAACUUAUUUUUAGAAUGCUUCUUUCUUGGUAAGAUCUCUUAAGAAACCCUUCUUGAAAAUAGUUUUUUUUUUUUUGUUUUGUUUUUUAUGAUGGAAAAUUGUUUUCUACCUUAAAAACUAUAUUUGGUAAAAUUUCACUAAAAUAAUUUUUUGAAAAUAGGUUUUUUUUUUGGAACAAACGCUUUUAAAUAUAUAUAUAUAUAUAUAUAUAUAUAUAUAUAUAUAUAUAUAUAUAUAUAUAUAUAUAUAUAUAUAUAUAUAUAUAUAUAUAUAUAUAUAUAUAUAUUGUAGAAUAUUUCAAGAAAUAGUUGAAAAUAUGAAAAAUGUUUCAAGAACCUUUGUAUCUUAGAUUUGUGCACUUCAGUUUCAUGAAUAAUAUUAAACUAAGAAAACUGUUAUUUAUAUAUUAAUUUCUAAAUAAAAUUUUGUUGCUGGAAAUAAUUAAAAUUUAUUUUAAAAAACUAUUUUCAAGAAUUAUUUUUGAAAACGUUGCUAAAAAGACAAAAGUCCUUGGUCAUUUUUUUUUCUUUUAUAUUUUUAUCUUUAUCUAAGAGGCCGGUCUUUUUUUUUUUUUAAUGUUCCAUAAUCCUUGUGAAAUUGUAACGUGUAAUUCAUUUAUUUGACUUCAAAAGUUAAGAAAUAAUGAACCUUUCAUUAUUGUAGUUUGUCUUGUAGUAAGAGACUUAAAAAUCCACGUACAAGAUGUCUUUCUUUCUUAAGUCAAGUCAACAAAAUGGAGGUGGAAGAAAUAAUGAACUUUCAUUAUUGUAGUUUGUCUUGCUAAAAGCUAUGUAUAACGGGUCUUCGUAAGUCAAAUCAAUAAUCAAAUUAAAAGAAAUAAUAAACUUCCAUUAUUCUAUUUUAGAGACUUAAAAAGCCAUAUAUAACGGGUCUUCUUUUCUUAAGUCAAGUCAAUAAAAUAAAAGUAGAAGAAAUAAUGAACUUUCAUUAUUGUAGUUUGUCUUGCUAAAAGCCAUGUAUAACGGGUCUUCGUAAGUCAAAUCAAUAAAUCAAAUUAAAAGAAAUAAUAAACUUUCAUUAUUGUAUUUUAUCUUGUAGCGAGAGACUUAAAAAGCCAUGUAUAACGGGUCAUCUUUUCUUAAGUCAAGUUAAUAAAUCAAAUUAAAAGAAAUAAUAAACUUUUAUUAUUGUAUUUUAUAUUGUAGCAAGAAACUUAAAAAGCCAUGUAUAAUGGGUCUUCUUUUCUUAAGUCAAGUCAAUAAAUCAAAUUAAAAGAAAUAAUAAACUUUUAUUAUUGUAUUUUAUCUUGUAGCGAGAGACUUAAAAAGCCAUAUAUAACGGGUCAUCUUUUCUUAAGUCAAGUCAAUAAAUCAAAUUAAAAGAAAUAAUAAACUUUUAUUAUUAUAUUUUAUAUUGUAGCAAGAGACUUAAAAAACCAUGUAUAAUGGGUCAUCUUUUCUUAAGUCAAGUCAAUAAAUCAAAUUAAAAGAAAUAAUAAAUUUUUAUUAUUGUAUUUUAUAUUGUAGCAAGAGACUUAAAAAGUCAUGUAUAAUGGGUCUUCUUUUCUUAAGUCAAGUCAAUAAAUCAAAUUAAAAGAAAUAAUGAACUUUUAUUAUUGUAUUUUAUAUUGUAGCAAGAGACUUAAAAAACCAUAUAUAACGGGUCUUCUUUUCUUAAGUCAAGUCAAUAAAUCGAAUUGGAAGUUUUUCCUUUUUUUUUUUUUUUAAACCAACUUCUACUAUUACUUUUAUUAGUUAUUUUGAUCAUUUGAUUAAAUAUUGAAUUAUUAUUAUUUUUUUAAAAUUUUCAAGUACAAACCAUUUCAUGUUAAAAAAUUUAAAGUGGAUCUAACUUUCUUUACAAGUUAAGAUAUCUUGAUUAAAGGAUAAAUAAUGGAUUGUAAUAUUUCAACUUUAAUUAAGUUAAUUUAUCAAUAUUCAAACUAAGUUGGAGAAAAAAAAAAGACAACACCUCAAUUUUAGUUUUCCAUUACACAUGGUUAUUUCUUUUUCUUCUUUUUCUUUUGCUUAUUUGACACACAAUGGCAGCUCUAGUCAUCAUACCUUUCAAGACUCUAAACUCACACAAAUUUUCAAUCUUUUCAUCAUAUCUUUUAAAAUUCUUGUCACUCAUAAAGUAUUUAAGACUUAAUUUUAAUAAAUUCAUAUUUUUAUAACUAUAACUAAGAGCUUUGACCUAUUAAAAAAUGAAUCAAAAAUCGUUUGCAAGACAUUAAAAUUUCAUAAUUAUUUCUUUUACCUUAAAUGUAGUUGUUAUGUGUUUGCUAGUUCACAUAUUUGCAAUAUACCCUAGGAUGGUUGAGCUAUGUAACAUGCUUCUCGGAAUCAAUUCAUUCGGUUUUUUUUUUUUCCUUUUCCCUUUUGGUUCUACUCAUUUUAAUGUAAAGAAGAACCAAAACAUAUUCACUAGUUGAUUUUACCCUUGGUUGCACAACUAACCAUAUGGAGUCUAGACUUGAAAAUUUUAUGCAUUUUGGGUCUAACAAGUUAUGAUACUUAGACCUAGCAUUACAUGUGAAAGAAAACAAAAAAGUAAUAAUAAAAAUAUAAUUCUCAUUGGAAAAUUAAAAUUGUUAUGAAAUAUUUUAUUUUCUCAUAUGUUGUUUAGAUAUUGAUGGAUUGACUUGUUAAUUAAAGUUGAAAUAUUCUAAUAUUUUUCUGUCAUCAAGGUGUCUUAUGUGGUGACUCAAAAAUAGUAUUAAUAAAUGAUAAAAGAGAUUGUUGCUAAUCUUCAAAAUUAUAAAAAGUUUAUACACUUUGCUAGUCUUCAAAAUUAUAAAGCGUUUAUACUUUAAAAAAACAAAAUAAAUAAACAUUAGUCUAUAUUGAAUGUGUUAAUAUGAAGUACAUUGUAGCUAUAAUUUUUUAAAGGAUUAAAGAAAAAAACCAUUCAAUAUUUUGCUAGGUAUAAAAAAUCUUAUUUAUUACAAAUUAUUUUGUAGAUGAUGAAUCAUUGAUGAAGAUAGGCUAAGGAAUUUAUAAAAGGUAAAAAGUAAUUAUUCAUAUAAAUGAAAAGUGAAGGUUAUAUUUGUUAAGUAUCUUUAAAAGGGGAUUUCAAAACAUUACUUUCUCUAAUAAUAAUAAUGUAAACUCAAAAUAUAUGUAAAUGAAAAUAAAAAAUAGUAUUUUUAUAAACUUAAAAAUAAUAUAUUUGUUUUUUUAAAUAUUUUUAGUCAUAAUUAAAGGUCAUCAUAUCUGUCAAAAAUUUAUCUUUAUAUUAUUUAUUUUAAAAAUGAUUAUUCAUUAAGAAUCAUUUUGAUAAAAGGUAAAAAAUAAUUACCAUAUAAAUUAAAAGUGGAGGUUAUAUUUGUUAAUUAUUUAUAAAAGGGGAUUUCAAAACAUUACCUUCUCCAAAAAUAACAAUAAUAAUAAUAUAAACACAAUAUUGACUCAAAAUAUUAUGUAAAUGAAAAACUUAAAAAUAAUAUAUAUUUGUUUUUUUUUUUUUAAUAUUUUUAGUCAUAAUUAAACUUCAUCUACUCAUCACGUUUGUGGGAAUGGUAUAUAAGUCAAUGCCUGCUUUGCUCAGAAAUCAAAAACCAAAACUUGUUAAUCCUUGUUAUUACACACUAUCCUUGCUCUGUGUUGAACAUGGGUACAAGCCCCUUUCGAUAUUUUAUUUCCUUUUUUCUGCUUAUGCUAUGUUUUGAAGCCUGUUUGAGGGUGGGUGAUGCUAAAGUUGGGUGCAGAGAGAGGGAAAGGCAAGCACUCCUUCACUUCAAACAAGGUGUUGUGGAUGAUUUUGGAAUGCUUUCUUCUUGGGGGAAUGGGGAAGACAAAAGAGAUUGUUGCAAAUGGAGAGGAGUCGAGUGUGACAACCAGACGGGUCAUGUGAUCGUGCUUGAUCCUCAUGCUCCGUUUGAUGGAUAUUUGGGAGGUAAGAUUGGUCCUUCAUUGGCAGAGUUGCAGCACUUGAAGCAUUUGAACCUCAGCUGGAAUGAUUUUGAAGGUAAUUAUAUACAUAUAUACCUUGUGAAAAUUCAUCAAUUUGUCUCAGCAGAAUAUAAUUCUCUAUUUUUCCAAUUUUACAGGAAUUCUUCCCACUCAACUCGGAAAUCUUUCCAACUUGCAAUCCCUUGAUCUCGGCCAUAGUUUUGGGUUUAUGACCUGUGGAAACCUUGAGUGGCUUUCUCACCUUCCUUUGUUAACACACCUUGACUUGAGUGGGGUUCAUCUUAGUAAAGCAAUCCAUUGGCCACAAGCAAUUAAUAAAAUGCCUUCCCUAACUGAGUUGUACUUGAGUUAUACUCAGCUUCCUCCGAUUAUUCCAACAAUAUCCAUUUCCCAUAUUAAUUCCUCCACUUCUCUUGCUGUGCUUGAUCUCUCCGUGAAUGGUCUCACUUCUUCAAUAUACCCAUGGUUGUUCAACUUCAGUAGCAGCCUUGUUCAUCUUGACCUCUCUAUGAAUGAUCUAAAUGGUUCAAUUCCGGAUGCUUUUGGAAACAUGACUACUCUGGCAUAUCUUGGUCUCUAUGGGAACGAGCUACGUGGUUCAAUUCCGGAUGCUUUUGGAAACAUGACUAGUCUGGCAUAUCUUUAUCUCUCUUCAAAUCAGCUUGAAGGUGAGAUUCCGAAAUCCUUGAGAGAUUUAUGUAAUUUACAGAUACUAUACUUGUCUCAGAACAAUCUCACUGGACUGUUGGAAAAAGAUUUUCUGGCCUGCUCUAAUAACACAUUAGAGGUUUUAGAUUUAUCUCAUAAUCAAUUCAAAGGGUCAUUUCCCUGGCUUUCAGGAUUUUCACAGUUGAGAGAAUUAUAUCUUGAAUUCAAUCACCUAAAUGGAACUUUACCUGAAAGUAUUGGACAACUGGCUCAACUUGAAGUGUUGUCCAUUCGUUCAAAUUCAUUGCGAGGCACUGUCUUGGCAAACUACCUUUUUGGUCUCUCCAACCUGUCUGUCUUAGACUUAUCUUUCAACUCCCUUACAUUCAACAUAAGCCCUGAGCAAGUUCCCCAGUUUCAAGCCUCUCGUAUAAUGUUGGCCUCUUGCAAAUUAGGACCACAUUUUCCUAAUUGGCUUCAAACUCAAAAAUAUUUGUUGGACCUUGAUAUCUCUGCUUCUGGAAUUUCUGAUGUCAUUCCCAGUUGGUUUUGGAAUUUAAAUUCAGGUUUAGCAUGGUUAAACAUUUCCAACAAUCACAUCUCAGGCACUUUGCCAAAUUUACAAGGAAUAUUUUAUUUGGGAAUGUGGGAUAUGAGUUCAAAUUGCUUGGAAGGUUCAAUACCACAAUUUCUUUUCAAUAAUGAAUGGUUGUAUCUCUCCAAGAACAUGUUUUCAGGCUCAAUUUCUUUAUCUUGCCGGAUUGCUAAUCUGUCUGGUUCGGGUUUGUCCCAUCUUGAUCUCUCAAAUAAUCGACUGUCAGGAGAACUACCCAAAUGUUGGGAGCAGUGGAAACAUCUAAUUGUUCUUAAUUUGGCAAAUAAUAAUUUUUCUGGGAAAAUUAAAAAUUCAAUUGGCUUGUUAUAUCGGAUUCAAACAUUGCAUUUACGCAACAAUAGUUUAACCGGAGCAUUGCCUUUGUCCUUAAAGAACUGCAAAGAUUUGUGUCUUGUAGAUUUUGGAAGAAAUAAAUUAUCAGGCAAAAUACCUGCAUGGAUGGGAAGAAGCCUAUCAAGUUUGAUUGUUCUCAACCUAAGAUCCAAUGAAUUUAAUGGAGGCAUACCUUUAAAUCUAUGUCAAUUGAAAAAUAUUCAAAUGUUGGACCUCUCAAACAACAAUCUAUCUGGUACUAUACCAAAAUGUCUCAACAAUUUAAGUGCCUUAACUCAAAAAGGGAGUUUGGUCAUUUCUUAUUAUGAAGGAGAGUUGAAUGGUUGGAAGCUCUCCUAUCUUGAUAAUACAUUGGUUCAAUGGAAAGGAAAAGAACUAGAGUACACUAAAACUCUUGGACUUGUGAAGAGCAUUGAUUUUUCGAAUAACAAGUUAAUAGGAGAAAUUCCGUCAGAAGUAACUGAUUUGGUAGAAUUGGUGUCAUUGAACUUAUCAAGAAACGAUUUGAUUGGACCAAUCCCUGCAACCAUUGGUCAAUUGAAAUUAUUAGAUUCUCUUGAUCUAUCUCAAAACCAGCUUAAUGGUAGAAUUCCAGAUAGUCUUUCUCAAAUAGCUGGUCUAAGUGUUUUAGACCUAUCAAAUAACACCUUGUCAGGUAAAAUUCCAUUAGGCACUCAAUUACAGAGCUUUAAUACCUCCACAUACGAGGGAAAUCCUGAACUUUGUGGGCUACCUCUUUUGAAAAAGUGUCCAAAAGAUGAACCUGGGGAAGCCUCCUUCAUUGGUUUUAGUAGUAAAACAGAGGAUAUUCAAGAUGAUGCAAAUAAUAUAUGGUUUUAUGGAAAUAUCGUUCUUGGAUUCAUCGUCGGAUUUUGGGGAGUUUGUGGCACUUUACUACUCAAUAGUUCAUGGAGAUAUGCCUAUUUCAAGUUCUUGAACAAGAUAAAAGACCGAGUGUAUGUGACAACAACAAUAAAUAUGAAUAGACUAUGGAGGAGCUUCCAAAUUUAAAUGGUAAGAUUUCUCAAAUUCUCUCCUUAGUCUUUUUAAUAAAUUAUAUUACCUUAGUAGCCUCUUUCUAUUAUUGCUCAAAUCCCUAUUCUAUUAAUUAACUUACCUUCCACAACUUAUGGAGAUAAAAUAAGAUUUUUCAAAUAAAAAUAUCAUAUUUUAUUUGAUUAGAUGUGAAAUUCAACUAUAACUAAGGAAGCCUUGAAUAUUUUGAUAUACCAAAUAUAACAACACCACAUUUUUAGUUCUCAUUGUACAUAUAGAUAAAUGUUAUGGCUUGAGAAUCAUAGUUGAAAAAUUAUAAUUAUCACUAUUUUUUUCUCAUCUUGCUUUUACUUACAGUUGUACCUUUUGCUGAAGUUCAGUCAACUUGCUUUAAGAAUAUUUGAGGUUUUAUUGUAAGAAGCAUACUACCAUACUUUCCUUUAUAUUAAUCAAGAAAAGUAAAUUUGCUUCUAUUGAAGACAUUUUUUUCAAAUUGAUGAAUAUUAUUUCAUUUGUUGUAUUGCAGAACUUCAAUUGGGUUGCAUCUCAAGGAUUAGUAGGUAAUAUAUGCUUGUGAGUAAUGAGUUUAUUUAGUAUUGGACAGCCUGAAUGUAAGAGCAUUUGUGUUUAUUGAACUCAUCAUCUUAUAAAUAACUUUGGCGUGUAUUAAGUUUGUUUAUUUGAUAAUAGGCGUGGCUUAAGUUUCUUAUGUUAUGCUCUAUUUAGAGCGAAUCAAAUAUAUUAGAGGAUGAUAUCAAGUCCUUUGUGGUGCAAUGCUAGAAACUACUUCGCUUUAAAAAAAACGUUUUCUUUUGCUCAAAAACCAGUAGCAACUAAAGCCAUAAUUUAAAAUGGGACAUGGUAAGACUAAGAACAGAAACUGAGCACUCUGUUUUUCUGGUGCCCAAGCAUGGAAGUUAUUAUAAUAAAAAGAAACAGCUGGUCAGAAUAAAACAAAAUUCAAAACAUGGUGUUUCUCACAAUGCAUAUUGAGGCUUCAUCCACUGAUAUUCCACAACAGAUUAACCGUCAAAAACCCUUAUGUUGAGUAGGAGAAAAGAAGCUCCAUACUUCUCAGGACAUACAGAACAACACCUUGGGUAGAGACCUUGACCAUGCUUGCAGAAAUGUGUUUUUGGAGCAGCAAUCCGAAGUAUAGGAGGCUUCAUAUUUGGGAACACUCCUCAUUCAAUGUAUCAUUGUGACUGAGAUGACUACAUAUUGAGGUUUGAUCAGUUCUAGGAAGGUGACUGGUUAUCAUAAAGCAUUUACCAACCAUUCUUGAAUACAUACUUAUGUGAUUUAGCAGGAUGGAACUGCAACUAGUCAUUAAUUAAGCAACAAAAAUGGCUGUGGUAAGAUUCUGAGACAUUGAUUGUAUAUUCCAUUGUUUUUUAUUUGAGGUUAAAUUCGGCUUUUGUUUUUUUUACUUUUUAAUUCUCUACUGCUUACAUGCCUCUUGUAUCUGAAGAGGCUAAUUGUUCAUGCGGUUGAAUUUUGCAACAUUUUCUUAUUGUUCGGGGCUUAAGCUUCUGUUCAUUUUUUCAUUAUUAUGUUUUUGUGCUUUGUUUUUUAUGACUAAUCCCAUGCCACAUAGUGAAGUGUUCACAGAGAAUGACUGGAAAUUUGUCCAGCUUGGGCUUGCUCUAUUUUAGAACAUUUUAGCCAUUCAAGACAUCUCGUUGCAGUAGAAGGCUGGGAGUCUGCACGCCACUCAAUUUUUAUCUCUGAGUAACCAAUUUUUGGUGCUGUUAUUCUUCAUUGAUUUAGAAGAUGAGCUGUUAUUUUUGGGGAUAUCUGUGUUAUAAUACACAAUAGUAUGCAUUGGGAUAUGCUACUACUGAAAACAGAACAAUCUGUUUUUGUGGCGUCCAAGCAUAAAAGCUAUUGUCACACAGCGAGGUCUGAUUUCCAACUGUGAAUCAAAUUGCUCGAGGUACUUCAUAUGCAGAUCGCUGCAAGUGGCUUUGGCCAUCAAUCUCCUUCAGGGGAUGAUAAUAUUGAGAUUGCAGUGAAGGUUUGGGUGUUUGUCACAAUGCCUGUUGAAGCGUCAUCAGAUGAUAUUUAGUCAUCAGAUGAUAUUUAAUGACAGAUAGGGUAUCUGUGGGGUUGAAAUCUCAUUACAUGCGGCAACACAGUUCUUGAUAUUUAAUGACAGAACGGUAAGCGAACUUUAUAUGUAGUUUUUUCCCUUCUCAUGGGUUCAUUUGUAAGUGUCCCAAUUUUCAAACAGAUGAAUAAUGGAUGGUGAAAGUGUCCUACACAUCAUAGAACAAAGAACAAGGAACAAGGAUCAGGAGUUCCCUUUACCUCUUGGGAUCUGUGUUGACACAUCCAUCUCAAAUUUCACUACUUGCAUUUUCUUUUGGGAAGUUUUUAUUGAGGACAGAAUAAUAAAUUAGCAUAUAGCUCUGUGAUAUCUGUCUAACCAUGCUGGCUUUUCCAUUUUGCAGAUUUGCAUGCUAGAUUUAGUGCUUAAACUAUCACUGGAAGAUUCUAAAGAGCCUCAAACAGCCCACAUCCUUCUUUAAAAGUUAGAUUUAUGAUCAGACUGAUCAAGGGUUGACUCAUUUUCUCUUGAAUCUGAUCAAAUCCUUCGACUCUCAUACUAACCCAAAAGGUUUCCCCUUUCAUUUCAACAACUUAGAAGUUCAUUGUUGAUGAUGAUGUUGCUGUUAUAUUCAUUAUUAUUACAACUAAUUUGAUAAGCAAUUAUUGUUAUUAUUUUUCUUUAUCUUAUAACACAAUCAUAUGAUAAAUGGAAUAUAAUGUCAUGACUGCAUUGAAAUUCUUGACCAAACAGAAAAAUGGGAAAUUUUGCUGUCUAUUUUAAAGCAUUGUAAUCAAUAUAGGGUAUCAUGAUGAUGAAUCAAGUCAACCUUGCCCCUACACUUUUGUGGUUGUGAAUGCAUUGAAAGAAAGUAAUAAUUCAGUCUGUGAAUCAAACAGGCCAUUAGUUCUUCGAAAGACUGAUACUCGAGAUGAAUGGGAAUUUGAGGCUGUAAGGCUGGGACGAUGAUGUAAACGGCACUCGCCAAUGGGUUCCUGAAUGGUCUGCAGUUUCUAAUCCAUGUGAUAUUGCUGGGGCUUGCCCUGUGUAGCUUGGACUGAAGCAAAACUAAUGCCUCCAGCAUGUACAUGCCUGCUGGGGGCUUCUAAUGUGGGAGACGGCGGCCAGUGCUCAGAGAAUUCUUCGGUGUCAACCGCGAGAUGUGAUAAUAAUCAUCGGAAUUCGACUGCUUCCAAGCUGAAGAUGUCGAUAGUGCAGCAAACUAAGUACUAUUAUCUCAUUUUUCCGAUUAUAGCAAAUUACAGUAACAUCUCGCCAUUAUCACAGUGCGGUGAUGCUUGUUUAUCAGACUGUGAUUGUGCUGCUUCCGUGUUGGCUGCUAAACAACUUGGAGUUUGGUGGAUUCGAGGACACGAGUUCGACCUUGUUUGUGAAGGUUGGGCCUAAGGGAUCACCUGGAGGCAACGCAACAGGAUUUGGGGAUUCAUCUGAUGGCCUCUGAGACAAGGUCUUAGUUCUUCCAAUUGUUCUCAGCAUGACUGUCCUUGUAGGACGACUCUGCUUCUUGUUAUACCACAGUGUGUACAGGAGGAGGGCCUUGAAGAGAGCCCUGGAAAGCCCCUUGAUUGUGUCCGGCGCUCCAAUAAAUUUCAGUUACUGUGAUUUGCAGUGCAGAACCGGCAAUUUGCACAGGUCAGCAUGUACAUAUACAUAUAUAGACUUUGAAAAGGAUGAAAUUGCUUGAACAAAGCCAAUUAGACUUGAUCAAUGAGGAUUAAUGUUGUCUUCUUUUUUUUUUUUUUUUUCAUGAGAGUUUGGGAGUGUAUACAAGAUGGGACAUUGGUUGCAGUGAAGAAGCUUGACAAGCCUCUUGGGAAGAAGGAAUUCAUAACUGAAGUGAAAACUAUUGGCUCUAUGCAUCACAUGAACCUGGUUCAACUCUGCGGCUACUGCUCAGAAGGCUCUCACCAGUAUGCAUUUCAUUUCAUUGCCUAAUACCAAUUACCACUAACCAUAUUUAAAUUCUUAUCAUCCUCUUUGGGGGUCAAGCAUACUAUAUCUUCGAGCUUGUAAUGGGGUUGGAAUUUGAUGAUUCUUCACAGGCUUCUGGUUUAUGAGUUCAUGAAAAACGGUUUCUUGGACAAGUGGAUAUUUCCCUCAAAGCAUUGUCGGGACAGACUGCUAGAUUGGGGAACUCGCUUCCAUAUAGCCAUUGCUACUGCACAAGGUAUUGCUUAUUUUCAUGAGCAGUGCAGGAACCGGAUCAUCCACUGUGAUAUCAAGCCCGAAAACAUACUUCUAGAUGAGAAUUUCUAUCCAAAAGUUUCAGACUUUGGACUAGCAAAGCUGAUGGGCAGAGAGCAUUGACAUGUAAUCACUAUGGUGAGAAGAACUAGUGGUUAUUUGGCUCCAGAAUGGGUGAGCAACCGACUUGUUACUGUAAAAGCCGAUGUCUACAGUACAGAUAGCUUCUUUUGGAGAUCGUUGGUGGCUGGAGAAACCUUGACAUGACUUUUGAUGAAGAAGACUUCUUCAAUCCUGGGUGGGCUUUUAAGGUAUAGAUCAGUCAAGUUCUUGCUUUUGUAAAUCACAAAUUGUUAAGUGUUUGAUAUUUUAUUAACAAAAAUGUCAAUUCCUCUAGGAAAUGAGUAAUGGGACGACGAGAAAAGUUGCAGACAGGCGAUCGACUGGAAGGGGCAAUGGAGGAAGAAGAGCUGGAAGAGCAUUGAAAACCGGCUUUUGGUGCAUUCAAGAUGAGGCUUUCAUGAGGCCUUCAACGGGGGAAGUGGUGAAGAUGUUGGAAGGAUCACUUGAAAUCAACACACCGCCAAUGCCACAGACAGUGCUGUAGCCCAUGGACGAAGGCCUAGACAAUGUAUACAGAGCCAUGAAGAGAGAGUUCAACCAGUCCAGCUUCAUCACCAUCAAUAGUACCCAUCCUUCAUCAAGGGCUACAUGUAGUUAUUCCACAAUGUCACCAAGAUAGCAAAGGAGAAAUGGAACAAAUUUUGUUGCUGUCCAAGAAUUUUAUCCCCAUGAUACUUUGAUACUGUCCAGAAACAUAGUAUUUAUUGACCAUUUGUUAAACUAGUAGAGAACUUUGCAUAAUGUUGUUGCUAAGAUUUCAAAUGGUAAAAGAAAUUAUAUUAAUUGCGAAACAAAAACAUAAACAAUUAGGUUGAGGUACGGAAAUCUCGUUCUUUUAAAGGAGAUUUAAGCCAUUUCUAGUUUGACAAUUUCAGAAAUCGGUAUACUUGACUUCUCUUUGGUUUGUCCCCUCAAGGAUACAAUGGUCCAAGUGAUUUGUUGCAUAGCUCACGUCAAUAUGCAUAAAGCAUAGAACUCAAAGCUAGCGGUUCACAAACAAACCUAUUUUUUUUGGCCAAGAGAAAAUAAAUAAAUAAAAAGGAAGAAGGCAGAAGAUGACUAAAAAAAUGUGUUAAAGUUAUAUGACAUUAGGAGGGUGAGUCAAGGCUAAUCAUAAAGUUUGAAAUGUUCAACAAUUUCAAAAUAAUUCAAUCUCGAUAAAUCCCAUUAACAUAAAUGAUAUUUAAUAUUUUUUAAUUUCCAUAAUUUUACAUUUGUAACUACAAAUUUAAUAACCCAUUAUGCCAACUUUAAUCCCUAUAACUUUCAUAUAUAACCACAACGUUAGUAACUAGUUUCUUUAAUCCCAAAUCUCCAUUUUUUUGAACUUUUAAAAACUUUUUUGGACCUCAUAUGACUUAGAUAUUGAUUUGAUAGGUUAAUUAUGCUUAGGGGGUGUUCAAUUGAUGCUUGAAAAAAAUCAAAAUAAAAAAAGACUAAGAAAUGAGUAAGGAUACAAAGCAUGUCAAAAUAUGAUAUCCCACAUCGGAUAUGGAAGAAAGUUCUUGACACUAUAUAUGUAGAGACUCCUCUUAAUUAUGUAAACGUGUCUUAAAACCAUGAGGGUCCCUUUGGGUUUAAAGCGAACAAUAUCUAUACUACGAAAAAUGUGAUGAAUUCUCGCAUUCUUCAUACCCUCCUCCACUUCUUUGAACUUUAAAAAAAAAAAUUGAACAUCAUAUGAUUUUGAUAUUGAUUAAAUAGGUUAAUUACACUUGGUGGGUAUGAGAUUAAUGCCCGAAAGAAUUGAAAUCGAAAAUUUAAAAAAAAUUUUGAGGAUUCCUCACACUCUUCAUACCUUAUCAAAUUUCCACUUCUUUCAAUUUUUGAAAUCUUUUUUGAAUGUCAUAUGGAUUGAAUAUUGAUUAAAUAAGUUAAUUUAGAAGGUGUGAAAUUGAUGUCUGAAAAAAUCAAAAUCCAAAAAUAUUAAAAAAUUAGCAAAGAGUGUGGAAUUCCUUAUUGCUACUAAUUAUAUUAUUAUUAUUAUUUUGUAUUUUCAAUACUUCAACCAAUAUUUGAUGUGAUUAAAUUUAAAAUGUAAGAAAGAAUUUAUUAAUACAAUUUUCAAUUAAUAAUUAGUACACAACUAUCUUAAUUUUUAAACAUUGUAUACUUAUUUAAAUUUAUUUUCAUAUUUUUAUAAAAGUGUAAUUACACUUACAAUUUAUUGAAAUUUUUGUAAAGCUCCUGAGACGUAAAGGUUAUAUCACGAUACUGAAUUCUGCUAUGCUCGCCUUUCAAGCUCUGAUGCUCCACGCCUGCAGCUCCGUUCUUUGCAACUGAAAUACACCAUUAGCUAUGUCCGCCUGUGAUUAAUGCUCUUGCCAAUGGAGCCGGUGAAAUUUAUUUACAUUGUUUUUCUUUCCAAAGUAUUUUUUUAGAUGGAAAGAAAAAGAGACAAAUUAUAAAAAAUAAAUCUCCAAUACCAAUAUUUAAAAAUGAUUUAUCUAUUUGUCAACACAAUUUGAGUGGAAGAAUAAUCAAGACAUGUGAAAAUCUAUAUAUCAGGAAUCAAAUAGGGCCCAAGAACAGGUUCCAACAAGAACCAUCAAUGGGUUGCCCAAUCAAUAACAAAAGGCCCGGUCUCAUGGAUCACACAAAAUGGAGUCACCACACGAUAGGUUUAAACCCAAAUAUAAAUUUCAAGUUCAUAUUUUCAAUCCCAUUUAUAAUUUAUUUAUUCAAAUUAGAAAUCUAUUUAUCAAGAAUUAAGUUAGAGUGCAUGGAGACCAAAGUUAAGAGAGAGGAUCAUGCCAAGAUUUAAAAUGAACAAAAUAUUUAUGAUUUAUCUAUAAUAAAUAUUCAAAUAAUAUUAAAAAAAAAACUAAUUAUUUUGAUGAUCAUAAAAUAUAUCAUUAUUGAAAUACAAACAAAUUUAAAUAAUAAAAUCUUUUUUUAUCUUAAUAAUUAAAAGUUACAUAUUUAAUAAAAUUAAAAUUACUAAUAAUUUAAUAAAUCUUUGUGUCAUUCUUAUCAUAAUUUAAGUUGUCAACAUUAAUGAUAUAAGAUGAUGAAAUGUAUUUAAAUUUUUUAAUUAUUUAUAUAUUUUUAAUUUCUUAUAAUUAGUUUAAAUUUUAAUAAUAUAUAAAUUAUAUAUUUAUGAGAUUACCAAUUUGAUCACUGUUUAACCAUAAAUCAAUAAUUUUUCUCAUUGAAUAAUCAAUCUAAUUCUAAAAACAUUGAUAAAAACUAAAGAAUCUUUAUUAUAAAAAAAAUAAAAGAUGUAAAAAACAAAUAAUUUGACUAGUCAAAGUAAAGGUCAUGGGUGACUUUUGGAAGCCUAGAAUAACAUAGGAAAUGUACAAGAAAUCAUUGAGCUUGCCAUUUAUUUCAGUAUUUGGAGGAUAAUAUUUAAUUUUUAAUCAUAUAAAAACAAAAGUAUAUUUAAUUCAUUAUUUUCUAAUAUUAUCUUAGAAAUAUUUUUAGAGAUAUAUUUAUUUUAGAACUUAUUGAGGAUAUUAAUACAAUGAAUUUGAUAAAUGUAAUAUAAAAAUGUAUAAAGUCAUUAAUUUUUUUUAUUUAUUAAAUUUGAAAUAUACAUAUCAUGUAGUAAUUUUUUGAAAAAAAAGAUUACUUUUAUAAAGCCAAUUCAAGGAAAAAGAAAACAUAACACUAUCCUCACUUCUCCGUGGUGUUUUAUUUCAUAUUAGAAAUCCUUCUAAUAAAAUUUCCUUUCUAAAAAUUUUAAAAAUAUUUUUUAUAACUACAAAAAAAAAAAAAAAAAAAAAAAAAAAAGCAUUACACUUAUCUUAUUCAUUACACUUUUAGAUUAUGUUGGUUUUAUUGGGAGCAGGGGGAAGGGAAUGGGAAGGAGAAAGUAGGUUUGCUUACUUGGAAAUGCUAUUUACAGAGAGACGGGGGUUUAGCCAGCUGAGAUUUGAAACAAAGAAAGGAAAGCUGGUGAUGGUGGAUUGAAUAUAGAGAAUGUGGGGUUUUGGGGUUGGGAGGCAUAUAUUCUUGACUGUUACGGUAACAACAUUUAUGAAAUGGACACAGCCUCCCUGAUGGUAGUACUCCAAAACGAUGUCGUUUCAGGACCCAAAAAGACAGGGUUUUAUCUCCCUCACCGCAUUGUAAUUAUUAUUAUUACGAUGGUUAAAAUUAGGAGUCAAUUUCUUGGGAUAUUCCACUAAUAAAAAAUAAAUAUAUUAUUUAUUUUAUUUUAUUUUUUAUUUCACUUAUCUUAUCAUAUUGUAGACCCCCCAUACGGUGAGGGCUUUUGGGUUUUUUUUGUUUUUGUUUUUUUUGUUUUUUAUUUUAUUCUUCUGACCACCCUAGAAAUUAAGCUGCAUGGGGCGGCAGAUGGGAUGGGUGGCAGGGGGCAAGCGGUGGCUUGCUGAGGAAGACGAGAGAAAAUAAAAAAAAAAAGAGGAAAAGGAAAAGGGAGAUCUGCAGAGGGUGGGAGGACUUUUCCGGAGAGCAGAAGACACCACUGUCAGUUGGAGGGCUCAGGUAUGGCCAUCUUCUCAAUUUUGGGUCUUUCUUUUUCGCUAUUUUUACUCAAUUCAUGCUGUGAAUCUAUUCUUCUCUGUCAUUGGGCUUGUUGAUUAUUGCUUUGGCACCUUUCUCUCCGAACCCCAUGCUCGUCCCUGCCUCACCCACGUCCCACGCAUGGCCGUCACCCUCACCUAUCUUCCUCAUCACCUCUUUCUCCCUCUAAUCGCCAUACCCGACUCCACAAGGACUCCCAAGGUCGCUCUUCUGCACGCAUGGAGUCCAAGCAAGCAUGCUGCCCCUCCCCGCAUCUCCUUGCUGCGCGCACCGCGCCGACGAGGCGCUUGCUCGUCUCACCAGCCGUUGCCUCGCCGCCAACCGCCAUCACCCGCUCCGGCUACGCUCACAUCUGCUCUUGCUCCGGGACCGCGUCGCCGCUGCCAUCGCUCCAGGACCACGCCGCCGCUGCAAUCGCUCCAGGACUACGCCGCCGCCGCCAUUACCCGCGACAGCGCCACCGCUGCCAUAGCCCGCGGCAGCGCCACCGUCUUCGCCUGGAAGGGCGAGAUCCUCCCGAGGCCUAGGAGCUGUCCACCAAGCUUGGAGAAAUCCGUGACUCCGAGCACCGUCGCCGCAGCCAGACGCGAGGGGGGGGGGGGGGGGGGGAACUAGGAAGAAGAUGAAGUCUUGUUGGGCUUGGGCUAAGGCUAGGCCCAAUUUGUGUUUGGUUUUGGCUAGGCCCAGUUUUGAGUUUGGUUUUGGGUUUGGGUUAUGAAGGCUUUGGGCUUGGGUUUGAGUUUGGAGCCCAGGCCCAAGCCUAUGCUGAAGAUGGGGCCUUUGUCUUGAGCCCAUUUCUAUUAUUACCAUAAUUAUUAUUAUUGUUAUUUUUAAUUAUUAUUGUCAUUGCUAUUAUUAUUACUAUUAUUAUUAAUCAUUGUUAUCAUUAUAUUUACUACUAUUAUUAUUAAUCAUUAUUAUCAUUAUAAUUAUUAUUAUUAUUAUCAUUAAUUAUUAUUGUCAUUGCUAUCAUUAUUAUUAUUGCUAUUAUUAUUACUAUUAUUAUUAAUCAUUGUUAUCAUUAUAUUUAUUAUUAUUAUUAUUAAUCAUUAUUAUCAUUAUAAUUAUUAUUAUUAUUAUCAUUAAUUAUUAUUGUCAUUGCUAUCAUUAUUAUUGUUAUUAUGAUUGUUGCUAUUAUUAUUAAUCAUUGUUAUCAUUAUAUUUAUUAUUAUUAUUAUUAAUCAUUAUUAUAAUUAUAAUUAUUAUUAUUAUUAUUAUUAUUAUUAUUAAUUAUUAUUGUCAUUGCUAUCAUUAUUAUUAUUAUCGGCAUUAUGAUUGUUACUAUUAUUAUUAAUCAUUGUUAUCAUUAUAUUUAUUAUUGUUAUUAUUAAUCAUUAUUAUCAUUGUUAUUAUUAUUAUUAUCAUUAUUAUCAUUAAUUAUUAUUAUCAUUAUUAUUAACUCAACUUUCAAAAUCUAUUUAUCAUUAUUAUUAUUAUCAUUAAUCCAAACUUUCAACACCUAUUCAUUAUUAUUAAUUAUUAUCAUUAAACCCAACUUCCAAAAUCUCAUCAUUAUCAUUAUUAUCAAUUCACAUUUUCAACACCUAUUUAUUAUUAUUUAUUAUUAUCAUUAGUCCAAACCUCCAAGAUCUCAUCAUUAUUAUUAUAAUUAACUCAACUUUCAAAAAUCUAUUUAUUAUUAUUAUCAUCAUUAAUCCAAGCUUUCAAAAACCUCAUCAUUAUUGUUAUUAUUACCUCAACUUUCAAAAUAUUAUUAUUAUUAUUAUUAUUAUUAUUAUCAUUGAUUAAUACUUUCAAAACCUUAUUAUUAUUAUUAUUAUUAUUAUUAAUUCAAACUUUCAAGACCUUAUUAUUAUUAUUAAUUCAAACUUUCUAACUUCCAAUUUCCAAGCCCAAUUUAUAAAAAUUCAACCUUCAAAUAAUACUUCAAAAUUCCGACAUUUAAAAUUCAAUUCCAAUUUCCGAAAAUUCUCAUACUCACUUUAAUUUAUUUAAUCACUAAUACUUUAUUCAUUUAUUUUUAAAACUCCAUUCUUAAUCUAUUUAUUUAAAAUUUCUGUUUGCCGAAUUAAAUUCCGAAAAUUCCCAUUCUCACUUCAAUUUAUUUAAUCACUAAUACUUUAUUCAUUUAUUUUUAAAAACUCCAUUCUUAAUCUAUUCUUUAAAAUUUCCAUUUACCGAAUUAAAUCCCGAAAAUUCCUAUACUCACUUUAAUUUAUUUAAUCACUAAUACUUUAUUCAUUUAUUUUUAAAACUCUAUUCUUAAUCUAUUCUUUAAAAUUUCCAUUUACCGAAUUAAAUUCCGAAAAUUCCUAUACUCACUUUAAUUUAUUUAAUCACUAAUACUUUAUUCACUUAUUUUAAAACUAAUCUAUUCUUUAAAAUUUCCGUUUAUCGAAUUACAUUUCUAUUUUUGAAAAUUCCAGUAUUCACAUUAAUUUAUUUAAUUAUUAUUAUGUUAUUUAUUUAUUCUAAAAUUCUAUUUUAAACAAUUCAUUUAAAACUUUCGAUCUCUGAAUUAAAUUUCUAUUUCUGAAAAUUUCACUAUUCACAUUAAUUUAUUUAAUUAUUAUUAUGUUAUUUACUUAUUCUAAAAUUCCAUUUUAAACAAUUCAUUAAAAUUUCCGACUUUCGAUUUUAAUUUCUAAUUCCAAAAACUCCAAUAUUCGCAUUAAUCUAUUUAAUUAUUAUUAUUUUAUUUAUUUAUUCUAAAAUUCUAUUUUAAACAAUUCAUUUAAAACUUUCGACUUCCGAAUUAAAUUUCUAUUUCUGAAAAUUUCAAUAUUCACAUUAGUUCAUUUAAUUAUUAUUAUUUUAUUUAUUUAUUCUAAAGUUCCGUUUUAAACAACUCAUUAAAAUUCUCGACUUCUGAUUUAAUUUAUAAUUCCAAAAUUCCAAUACUCACAUUAAUCUAUUUAAUUAUUAUUAUUUUAGUUAUUUAUUUCGAAAUUCCAUUUUAAACAAUUCUUCAAAAUUCAAAAUUCGGAACUUAAUUUCCAAUUUCCAAAAUUCUAAUUUCUUUCAAAUUUAAUAUCCAAAAUUCCAAUUCUUAAAUUUAAUUCUCAAGACUCCAAUCUUCAAAUAAUUUUCGAGACUCCGAUUUCCAAAUAAAUAUCCAAAAUCAAGUUUUUACUCCAAUAGUUUUAAUUCCAUUUCGGUUCUUAAAUAAUCUUUUGAUCUUCUGGAUUUUACAUAAGCAAUAAUGAAUUCUUCAUAAUUCUAAAACAUGGAAUUUGUGAGAUUAGUUCAUGAACAAUAAAUUGGGCUUUGGUGGGGGGGCCAUAUGAUUGAUCCCUAUUGAUUGUCAACUGUUGUGCUUGAUAUAUUUUGCUCGAUCUUCAUUUUGCGCUCCGAUAUGCAUGAGCUAUAAUUCGUAUUCGUUAAUUGUGUACUAAUCCCGUUUCUUGAUAGCGCAUUGUGGCUCGUGGCUCAGGUACGCACACAUUUUCAUUUUGAUCAUUCUCUAUGCAUGUUGGAUUUUCAUAUGUGCAUGAUUUGACUUAGGCAUCCAUUGAUUGUCACGUCGGCUUCAUUUUAUUAGUAGAGACCCGACUUUAGGGGCUUAGAGGGGUGCUACGGUCUUUACCGUACCUUCCCGAUGAGUAACCUGACCCCCGAACCCGAUCCGAUUUUUCACAGACCACCUUUUCCAAAAUAAGGAGUCACACUUAGGGUUUUUCUUUCUUAUUUUGUUUACCCUUUUAAAAUAAAACAAAAAUAAGUGGCGACUCCAAGUCAUUUUCAAAUAGUCAAUAAAAAUCAAUUUUCCUAAAUAAACAUCGAGCUCGCCAUUGAGUGGGAAACGCAUUGAGCCGAAAUGCGGGGUCCACACAUAUAUUUAACUAAAUAUGACAUAAGAUAAACUAUGAGAUAUAUUAUUUGUUUUAUUUUUUAUAAAUAUGUUAAUACCAAGUUAAAUUAUAUAAAAUACACAUAUCCCCUGUAUUAUAAAUUUAUUUAUUUAUUUAUCUAUUUUUAAUUUAUAAAAUAAUUUUUUUAUAAUAAAAUAUAAUUUAUGGUUAAAAAGAACUCAAAAAUUUAUAAAAUAUAUUAUAAAAUAAUAUUAAUUAUAUGUAUUAUUUAAUAUAUAAAUUAUUUUUAUAUAUUUCAAAUAACAUAAUAUAAAAAAAUUAUUUAUAAAGUUUAAAUAUUUUAAUCAUGAAUAUUUUUAUAUUUUUUUAAAUAAAAAAUAUUAGAAUAUAAUAUAAAUUUUAUUUUAAAAUUUUAAAAAUAAUAUAUAUUCUAUUUUAUGUUUUUAUUCAUUUUAUAAACUAAAUAUAAAUCUAAUAUAACAUGUUUUAUUGGAUAUCUUAGUUUAAGAUAUCAUAUCCAUUGCAUAUAAUAUAUCACAUUCAAUUGAAAAUCAUAUAGCAUGAGAUAUGAUAUUUCAAGAUAUAUAUACAUAUAUAUUUUAUCCAAUGAACCAACAUAAUCUAAAUUAGUUAUAAAAUAUAUUAUUUUUAAAAGUGUUUAUUUCUUAGUCAUUACACUUUAUUAUUAUUAUUAUUAUUAUUAUUAUUAUUAUUAUUAUUAUUAUUAUUUUCUUUAUUUUUUUCACAUGCAAUGAUAGUUUCUAGUCAUCAUGCCUUGCAAGACCCAAUACUCACAAAAUUUACAAGUUUACUCAUCAUAUCUUUUAAAUUUUUUGUUACUCCUAAAGUAUUCAAGACUUUUAGCAAUGUCAUAUCCUUAUCACUACAACUAACAACUUUGACCAAUUCAAAAAAUGAACUUCACAUGCAAUAGUAGUUCUAAUCAUCAUGUCUUGCAAGACCCGAUAGUUACAAAAUUUUCAAGUCUACUAUUCAUCAUAUCUUUUAAAAUUUUGGUUACUCAUAAAGUAUUCAAGACUUUUAGCAAUGUCAUAUCCUUAUCAUUAUAACUAAGAACUUUGCCCAAUUCAAAAAAUGAACUUCUCAUGCAAUAGUUCUAGUCAUCAUGCCUUGCAAGACCCGAUAGUUACAAAAUUUUCAAGUCUACUACUCAUCAUAUCUUUUAAAAUUUUGGUUACUCAUAAAGUAUUCAAGACUUUUAGCAAUAUCAUAUCCUUAUCAUUACAACUAAGGACUUUGCCCAAUUCAAAAAAUGAACUUCACAUGUAAUAGUAGUUCUAGUCAUCAUGCCUUGCAAGACCCGAUAGUUACAAAAUUUUCAAGUCUACUACUCAUCAUAUCUUUCAAAAUUUUGGUUACUCAUAAAGAAUUCAAGACUUUUAGCAAUGUCAUAUCCUUAUCACUACAACUAAGAACUUUGCCCAAUUCAAAAAAUGAAUUUCACAUGCAAUAGUAGUUCUAGUCAUCAUGCCUUGCAAGACCCGAUAGUUACAAAAAUUUCAAGUCUACUACUCAUCAUAUCUUUUAAAAUUUUGGUUACUCAUAAAGUAUUCAAGACUUUUAGCAAUGUCAUAUCCUUAUCACUACAAUUAAGAACUUUGACCAAUUCAAAAUAUGAACUUCACAUGUAAUAGUAAUUUUAGUUAUCAUGCCUUGCAAAACCCGAUACUUACAAAAUUUUCAAGUCUACUACUCAUCAUAUCUUUUAAAAUUUUGGUUACUCAUAAAAUAUUCAAGACUUUUAGCAAUUCAAAAGUGCAUGCUUUAGAAAGUUAUUACUUUUUGUAGUUUAAAUGUGAGUGUUAUGUAUUUGUCUUUUCACAUAUUUAUAUAUAACCUAGAUGGCCAAUCAGGCCAUUACCAUACAAUUUUUUUUUUUUUUUUAUAUAUAAUCUCAUAAAGCAUUUUCAAUUUUUUUUUAUAAUGUAUAUAAAAUAAUGUCAAUCCAUUUACACUUACGAAAAUGAUUUUUCUUAAAAAUGUCAAAGGCAACGAGGUAUGAAUAUUUUUAUAUCUGGAAACUGCAGGGACCCACUAAGGGGAGUACAUGCUAUUAGUGUCGGUGAGGAGAAGAUAGAGGAAACACAUUGGGGGGUGAGUCAAGGAGGAAGGGGCGUGCCGCCCUGCCGGGAGCGUGGUGGCAUGAAUUACUUGGGCGGAGCGAGAUGUCACGUGGACCGCGCUUUGCGCGGACACGCGGCGACCUGCAGAUCCGGAGGGGCGACGUUGUCUAACGAAUUUUAGAAAUUCGUGCCACUAGCCAUAUGGAUUUUGGACUAAAAUAAAAAACAAGACUUUAUUUUUGUUAUUUCUUUUAUAAGGAUGUCAUAAUUAAUAAUUCAAAAAUGUUAAUAAUUAAUUAUUAAAGAGAUUUUUGCUACUCUUCGAAAUUAUAAAAAAGUUUAUACACUCAUAAAACAAAUAAAUGUAUCUUCUAAUAAAUAAAUUUUUAUUAAAAUAAAUAAAUAUAUAUCUAAUUUUGAAUUUAUUAAUAUGAAGUAAAUUGUAUGUAUCUUAAGUUAGAUUUCUUAUUGAUUAAAAAAAAAGACCAUUCAAGGUUUAGCUAGAUGAAAAAAAAAUCUUUAUUUAUUAGAAAAUUCAAUUUUUUUUGAAUGAUGAAUCAUUGAUAAUGAUAUAUAAAAAUAAUUUAUAUAUCAUAUAUUAAUAUUACUUUAUAAAUAUUUUUAGUUUUUCUUUUUUAACCAUAAAUUUAAUUUAUAAUUAAAAAAAUUAUUUUAUAAAUGGUAUCUCUUGUCAUCAUACCUUUCAAGACUCUAAGCUCAUAAAAAUUUUCAGUAUUUUCAUCAUAUCUUUUAAAAAGCCAUGUAUAACGGGUCUUUUUUUUCUUAAGUUUAAGUCAAUAAAUCAAAUUAAAAAAAAUAAUAAACUUUCAUUAUUGUAUUUUAUAUUGUAGCGAGAGACUUAAAAAGUCAUGUAUAACAAGUCUUCCUUUCAUAAGUCAAGUCAAUAAAUAGAAUUAAAAGAAAUAAUAAAUUUUCAUUAUUGUACUUUGUCUUGUAGCAAGAGACUUAAAAACCCAUGUAAGAGGUCUUCAUUUCUUAAGUCAAGUCAAGUCAAGUCAAUAAAUCGAAUUGGAAGUUUUUCCUUUUCUCUUUUUUUAAACCAACUUCUACUAUUACUUUUAUUAAUUAUUUUGAUCAUUUGAUUAAAUAUUAAAUUAUUAUUAUUUUUUUUCAAGUACAAACCAUUUCAUGUUAAAAAAUUUAAAGUGGAUCUAACUUUCUUUACAAGUUAAGAUAUCUUGAUAAAGGGAUAAAUAAUGGAUUGUAAUAUUUCAACUUUAAUUAAGUUAAUUUAUCAAUAUUCAAACUAAGUUGGAGAAAAAAAAAAAACAAAGACAACACCUCAAUUUUAGUUUUCCAUUACACAUGGUUAUUUCUUUUUCUUCUUUUUCCUUUGCUUCUUUGACACGCAAUGGUAUCUUUAGUCAUCAUACAUUAAAAAAAACAAGAUAAAGAAACAUUAGUCUACAUUGAGUGUGUUAAUAUGAAGUACAUUUUGUAGAUGAUGAAUCAUUGAUGAAGAUAGGCUAAGGAAUUUUUUCGGUCUAUAGAAUGACUUGUUAAUUAAAGUUGGAAUAUUAUAGUACUUUAUUUUUAUUAUCUCUUUAUCAAGAUGUCUUAAUUAAUGAUUCAAAAAUGUUAAUAAUAUCAUAAAAGAUAUUUUUUCUACUCUUGAAAAUUAUAAAAAAAGUUUAUACACUCAGAAAACAAAUUAUCUUCUAAUAAAUAAAUUUUAUUAAAAUAAAUAAAUAUAUGUCUACUUUGAAUUUAUUAAUAUGAAGUAAAUUGUAGGUAUCUUAAGUUAGAUUUCUUAUUGAUAAAAGAAAAAGACCAUUCAACAUUUAACUAGAUGGAAAAAAAAUCUUUAUUUAUUAGAAAAUUCAAAUUAUUUUUUGAAUGAUGAAUCAUGGAUAAGGAUAAAUACUCUAGAUGGGUCAAAUAUGGUAGAUAACUUGGUUCCAAUAAAUAUUACAUUAAAUUUUUUUGGAACUUAUAUUUCUGCUAACUAAAAGCAACCUCUAUAUGGAUUCAAUAUAGAGGAUGGUGUGACCGUAAAGUUAUUUCUUUAAAUUUUUGGCCGUAUAUUGUCACUUAACUACCACUUAUAAUAAUAAUAAUGAUGAUGAUGAUAGAGGAAACUGCAUGGGACCCACGAAGGCAUGGGGAGUACACGCUAUUGGUGUCGGUGAGGAGAAGAUAGAGGAAACACAUUGGGGGGUGAGUGAGGGAGCAAGGGCGGGAUGGAGUCAACAAGAGUGUUGACUGAGGAUAAUAAAGGGGCACGCCGCCCUGCCGGGAGCGUGGUGGCAUGAAUUACUUGGGCGGAGCGACAUGUCACGUGGACCGUGGCGACCUGCAGACCCGGAGGGGUAGCGUUGUCUAACGGAUUUUAGAAAAUUCGUGCAACUAGCCAUAUGGAUUUUGGAAUAAAAUAAAAAAUAAGACUUUAUUUUUGUUAUUUCUUUUAUCAAGAUGUCUUAAUUUAUAAUUCAAAAAUGUUAAUAAUAAAUUAUAAAAGAGAUUUUUGCUACUCUUCGAAAUUAUAAAAAAGUUUAUACACUCAUAAAACAAAUAAAUGUAUCUUCUAAUAAAUAAAUUUUUAUUAAAAUAAAUAAAUGUAUAUCUACUUUGAAUUUAUUAACAUGAAGUAAAUUGUAGGUAUCUUAAGUUAGAUUUUUUAUUGAUUAAAGAAAAAGACCAUUCAAGGUUUAACUAGAUGGAAAAAAAAUCUUUAUUUAUUAGAAAAUUAAUUUUUUUUUAAUGAUGAAUCAUUGAUAAUGAUAUAUAAAAAUAAUUUAUAUAUAUCAUAUAUUAAUAUUAUUUUAUAAAUAUUUUUAGUUUUUCGUUUUUAACCAUAAAUUUAAUUUAUAAUUAAAAAAUUUAUUUUAUAAAAUAAAUAUAUAAAAAAAUAAAUUUAUGAUAUAUGAGAUAUACAUAUCUUAUAUCUUAGUAUAGAAUUAACAUAUUUCGUGUAAAAGGAAUAAAAAAAGAGUGAAUAAUAUAUUUCACCACUUAAACUAUCUCAUCAUUAAUUAAAUAUAAAAUUUGAUGUAAUAUCUUCUCUUUUAUCCUGUAUGAUGUUACAUUUGAUCAACCAAACAUAACCUAUAAAGUUAAAAUUAUAGAAAUGAAAUGUAAGAGACCUUACUGAAAAAUAGAAAGUAAAAUGAUUGAUUUUUGAAAGUAAAUAUUGAUAAUAUUAUAAAAUUUUCACUAACAUAAAUUAAAAAAUUCAAGGAAAAAAAAAACAUAACACUAUCCUCACAAUUCCGUGAUAUUGUUUUUUUCAUAUUAGAAAUCCUUAUAAUCAACUUUCCUUUUUAUACGUUUUAAAAAGAAUUUUUAUUACUAAUUUAGAUUAAAAAAAAAAAAAAAAACCUUUCAACCAACCACACAUGUGACAUGGUGGUUGUUUUUAAAUUUCAAUAAAAGAUUUUAUAAUUAUUAAGAAAAGAAAAAAAUGUUAAAAAAAAAUGAUUAUUUUUUUUUAUUAUGAAAUAUACGAAAGUAAAAAUAUAUAAUUAAAAUUAAUAAAAAAACUAAUAUAUUUUAAAAUUAUUUACUUUUUAUUUUUAAAAAUUAAAUAAAUAAAAUAAAUUUAAAAUAAAAUAUAAAAAUAAUUUAUUAAUUUUAAAUUUAUUUUUUAUUUCUCUCUCACUUGUUCUUUAAGACGUGUUGUGUGUAAAAUACCAUAAAACAAGUCAUAUCACCAUGCUCAAGAUUUCAACAUGGUAGGUGUAGGUUUUGAAGACUUUUCCAUAUGAUUAAUACUUGGAUACCUGAAUUUUCUUUGGGUGGGGUUGGGCUUCUGUAAGUUUCUCUGCAAUUUUCUCCUACUUGGAAACAAAGGAAUGGUCAAAGAGAGGAACUCAGUGAAGAGAAGAUUGAAACGGACUGGAUACACCCUCGCUUGCUCCGAAGGUUGGUAUGAUCUUCAUGGUCGGUAGGCCUUCUCAAGUCUCCAUGCAUGCCUCAUUUUUCCCAUAUGAUAAAUCAAUGGUAGGAAGAGCGAGCUUCACACGAACAAACACAAUAAAAUCAUUAAAUUUUUGGAAUAAUAAUAUGAUGAAGUUGAUAAAUGAUAAGGAUUAGGAAGAUGUUUAAUGAAAUUUUAAACUAAUAAUAAUUAGAUGUAUUUAACCUAAACUUUUGGAGAGAUUAAUGAAAUUAAUCAUAUAAAAAUUUCUCUAAUUUUAAUUUUAGAAUAAAUAUUAACAAUAUUUUUUUCAAAUAUAAAUAAUAAUAUUUGGAAAACAUCAUCAGUAAAUUGCCUUUUCAAUUUUUUGUCUAAUUGUCAUUUUAAAUGAAUAUUAAAAUCCUUUUAGUAAAAUUUAUGAAUUUAGUAAAAUAUUAAUAUCUAUAUUUUAUAAAUUUUAAUAAAGUUUUAUUAUUUUUAAUAAAAAAAAAAUUAUAUAAGUUGUGUUUGUCUUAUUAGUAUCACUAUUUACAAAAUUUAUCUUUAUAUUAUUUAUUUUAAAAAUUAUUAUUUAUUAAGAAUCAUUUUUAUAAAAGGUAAAAAAUAAUUACCAUAUAAAUAUAAAUUAAAAGUCGAGGUUAUAUUUGUUAAUUAUUUUUAAAAAGGGAUUUCAAAACAUUACUUUCUCCAAAAAUAACAAUAAUAAUAUUAUAAACACAAUAUUUACUCAAAAUAUUAUGUAAAUGAAAAACUUAAAAAUAAUAUAUAUUUGUUUUUUAAAAAAUAUUUUUAGUCAUAAUUAAAGGUCAUCUACUCAACAUGUUGGUGGGAAUGGUAUAUAAGUCAAUGCCUGCUUUGCUCACAAAUCAAAAACCAAAACUUGCUAAUCCUUGUUAUUACACACUAUCCUUGCUCUGUGUUGAACAUGGCUACAAGCCCCUUUCGAUAUUUUAUUUCCCUUUUUCUGCUUUUGCUCUGUUUCGAAGCCUGUUUGAGGGUGGGUGAUGCUACAGUUGGGUGCAGAGAGAGGGAGAGGCAAGCUCUCCUUCACUUCAAACAAGGUGUUGUCGAUGACGAUGGAGUGCUUUCUUCAUGGGGGAAUGGGGAAGACAAAAGAGAUUGUUGCAAAUGGGCAGGAGUGGAGUGUAACAACCAGACGGGUCAUGUGAUCAGGCUUGAUCUUCAUGACCAAUCUUUGGGAGGUAAGAUAUCUCAGCUUGGUCCUUCAUUGGCAGAGUUGCAGCACUUGAAGCAUUUGAACCUCAGCUAUAAUGAUUUUAAAGGUAAUUAUAUACAUAUAUACCUUGUGAAAAUUCAUCAGCUUGUCUCAGCAGAAUAUAAUUCUCUCUUUUCCCAAUUUUACAGGAAUUCUUCCCACUCAACUUGGAAAUCUUUCCAAUUUGCAAUCCCUUGAUCUCGGCAGUAAUUAUGGGCAUAUGAGCUGUGAGAACCUUGACUGGCUUUCUCACCUUCCUUCGUUAACACACCUUGACUUGAGUGGGGUUUAUCUUAGUAAAGCAAUCCACUGGCCACAAGCAAUUAAUAAAAUGCCUUCCCUAACUGAGUUAUACUUGAGUGAUACUCAGCUUCCUCCGAUUAUUCCAACAAUAUCCAUUUCCCAUAUUAAUUCUUCUACUUCUCUUGCUGUGCUUCAUCUCUCCUUGAAUGGUCUCACUUCUUCAAUAUACCCAUGGUUGUUCAACUUCAGUAGCAGCCUUGUUCAUCUUGACCUCUCUAUGACUGAUCUAAAUGAAUUAAUUCCGGAUGCUUUUGGAAACAUGACUACUCUGGCAUAUCUUGAUCUCUCUUGGAACGAGCUAUGUGGUUCAAUUCCGGAUGCUUUUGGAAACAUGACUACUCUGGCAUAUCUUGAUCUCUCUUUGAACGAGCUACGUGGUUCAAUUCCGGAUGCUUUUGGAGACAUGACUACUCUGGCACACCUUGACCUUCAUUCUAAUCAUCUAAAUGGAUCAAUUCCGGAUGCUUUUGGAAACAUGACUAGUCUGGCAUAUCUUGAUCUCUCUUCGAAUCAA